rnacentral:lncRNA from 1 species
UUCUGUUCAAGUAGAUGGCUUCAGUGUUCUGACUUUUGAGUGUAAGCUUUAUUGCUAAAGGAGAGAUAAUAUCAUUUUAUUUGGCAAUAACUAUAUGAAAUGGCUAAAACAAUUUGAUCUUGUUCGUUAUGUAUUGAUCUGAAUAAUCACACCUACAUGCCUCAAGUGUUCGAGGCUGUCUGAGCAAACUAAACUACUGACACGUAAGUUAUGUAUUGAUGCCUCAUUAGUGUUUUUUUUAAUCUUCUGGUUUCUGUCUAGAUUGGAACUAGACAGUGAAAGGUUCCCAGGUAUGAUGUUAAAACCUGCUUUAAACUUUAGAUCUUUCCGUCUUUGUUAUGGCUGAUUUAGUGGCUUAGUUCUGGUACUAGCUUGGGAUAAGAGUGUCACUAAGACAAAAAAAGAAAAUUAAGUGAACAGAUGGUUUUCAUUAUUGAAAAGUGGGACUGGAUUUUUUUUUUUGUAAGGGAUCAAGCAUUAGCACUGGAAAGAGCUCGAAAGCUGUAUUUGAUUCGAUUACUUUCGCCCUUAUGGUUCAGCUGGACACCACACCAUACAGUUGAAAGUAACUUUGCUGCAACCUUAUUGUGUAUUGCUCAUGAUGUGCUGACAUGAUGUGUUCACCUGACAGCCAAUGCAAGCGCACUUAAAGUCAGCUGUGAACUUCUGCGCAUAUUCGUUACAGGUUUGCACCUCUGAAAAAUGCUGCGUAACCUCACGCUAGCAUGUAGCAGCAGCAAUUUUCUGUAAUUUUAACUCAGGAAUUUCUCGUGCAGAGGCUAUUCAACGUUCUGCUUUUAUCGCUGAAGCGGAGGACGCUACUGUUAUCGAACCCACCCAUCUAGAGCGUGUAUUGCCGCAACUGCUCUUGGACUUUUGAGGUACCCCCAUAGGGCUUUCGAAUCCAUUUAUUCGAGCAGACGUCUGGCAUAGAAGGAUAGAGAUUCCUAAUUGACAUUAGUGACAUGAGUUUUUCAACUUCUGCUACAUCCAGUAACUAAGAACAUUAAGCAAUCGGAACAAACAAGUAAACAGAUAUGGCAAGCCCAACUUUAUUCGACAUAAACCUGAAACCAUCCUAACUUACCGUUUCUUCGUGUGCCAAAGUUCGUCUUCAUUUUAUUUCAGAGCCUUUGUGCUAGCCGACUCUGACCACCCGGCACCUACGCUUCAGCAGCUACCGCGAUCAGGGGCUCGCGACCCGCGCGCGCCGCGGACGGAGAGCUAGAGAGCUACUAGCAGCUGGGCACGGGCACCUUGCAGGCGGUGAACACCCUCCGCUUGUGUCUGGUGUCGACGAGGCGCUUCAGGUUGGCGUCGUCCUUAUACCGGCAAAGGCAGUUGGGCCCGUGGGACUUGAGCCUGGCGCAGCAGGCGGGCGUCGGGGAACCCUUCCCCGUGAACGCGCUCGCACACGGGCUCAGCUGCAUCACGUCGCACGGCGCCAGCGCCGAGAAGUCGGCCGCGGCGCGGCUGGCGAGGAGGCUCACCACCACCGCGACGAGGAGGAAGACGGCCGGCCUCAUCCCGACGAUCGCAGGUGGGGUUUUCGCUGGACUGGGACUGGGAGGCCACGAGAAGUCGUCAGGAGCUGCAGCGUCCAGUGGGCAGAGUUGCUCGCAGCUUUUGUAGGCCGGCGCCCGGUAGCAGUGUAGUGUAGCACGCAGCAGGUGAGUCACGGUGUGAGCGUGCGCAACCGAGCGCAGUGCACGUUAGGUGAAGCACGCCUGAUAGAGGGCUGCCUGCCAUCACGAUUCUGAGUUUCUGACGAGGCUAAGGUACUGUGCACAUACUGAGGCAAAGCAUCUGGUUGACGCAAACUUGCCGCGCAUUCGUUUAUUCCUCUCGAUGGUUCAAUCCCUGCAGAUCUAGCUAUCCUUUUCUUCUCAAUCUACGCCCCCUUGAGAUAAAAAUUAUACUACUCCCUCCGUUCCAAAUUAUAGGUUGUUUUGGCUUUUCUAGAUACAUAGAUAUUAUUAUGCAUCUAGACAUAGGGUAUGUCUAAGUGCAUAAUAAAGUUUAUGAAUCUAAUAAAAUCAAAACGACCUAUAAUUUGGAACGGAGGGAGUAGCUUUUUGGGGGCAUAUAAAGACGCCCUUUCUGCAACAGACCGAUCAGACAAACCAAGACGAGAUUAAUCGUCAAAAACUCAGAGAGCCAUGCAUCCUCAUUUUCCUAACGAUCACGGCAAUGGACGAGUGGGUGGUCCAUUCCAUAGGCACAACCGGUGGCAAAGACCCUCUAAUUUAGCCUAACAAAUUUAAGGAUCGGGCUUCACGAGGAUCGAGCUAUAAUAGUAUAUAAUUUUGAACUAAAAAUAAAUAGGGCUAAGUUGGAUAAUAAUAUAUGAUUUUGAACUAAAAAUAUAUAAAAAUAUAUAGAGCUGAGUUGUAUUGUGAAGGAGGCAUGAGGGCCAUGAUCCAUUACCACCCCUAGUCAAUUCAUAGGCUUCUUGGCGGAGGAAAAGGUAAUGCUACUCUUCCUUUCUUUCUGGACAAUUAACUUGCAUCAUUUGAAUUACCAAAGUUUCUGUCUGAAUCCAUGUGUUCAUGGAUUGCGUUGUUUGCCCCUCGCAGUGGCGGACAUUCUGCUGUGGAAGGACAGGAACUUAUCUGCAGGUGUGCUCCUCGGGGCCACGUUGAUCUGGUACCUGUUAGAAGUGGUUGAAUACAACGUAAUCCCGCUCCUUUCCCAGAUUGUCAUCUUGGCCAUGCUCGUGGUCUUCAUUUGGUCGAAUGCCACGCCGCUCUUGAACAUGUAUGUCUUUGUUUCUUCUGGAGGUUUAUCGAAAUUCAAAUGUGACACAAAGGCACGAGAAGCAAUUCUCAACUAACCAAAUUUUCAUAGCAGACCCCCUCCAAGAAUCCCAGAAGUCAUCGUCUCUGAGCAUGCCUUCCGACAUAUAGCACAGACCAUCCAUUACAAACUGGCAUACACUGCUGCUGCUCUUUAUGACAUUGCAUGUGGAAAGGAUCUGAAGAAAUUCCUCUUGGUACAUAACAAUCAAUAACUCUCCUACCUUCAUAACAAAAACCAUGUCACAGUUUUUCCAGUGUCAAGAUAUAUGCCAAGAUCCACGUGUGAUAUUUUUGAAUUUAUAUUUUUCAUCACUUUUAUAGUGUUUUUGGGCAAUUUACAACACUUUAACCUUAGACUAACAAUAUGCUGUUUCAAAUAUUAAGGUGAUCUUUUCACUGCUAAUAUUGUCUGAGAUUGGAAGUUCUUACAGCUUCACAAGUCUACUAUAUCUCGGUGAGUACCGCGGUAAUUUUAAACAAGAUGAACACACAAAGAUCAUACAAACCAAUUGCUAUAAUACAUUUAACAAUCUGAACAACUUACUUCCGCAGGAUUUUUGUGUGCUCACACUUUGCCAGCAUUGUACCAAAGAUAUGAGACAGAGGUGGACCAUCUAGCUGCAAGAGGUAGUGAAGACAUCAAGAGGUUCUAUAAGAGGAUUGAUUCCAAUUUGCUCAACAAAAUAGCAAGAGGCCCUGUCAAGUCAAAACCUAUAUAAGAUAUACUCCCUGAAGAUACAUCAAUAAUUCCCUCGAAAGGGAAUGACCUAUCAUUUGAUUGCUUCCAGCGAAAAUGGUCCUAUUGUAAUUUGUACAAAGGUGCGUGAACCAGAAAAGCAAGAAGUAGCUUCAACUGAGCCUGGAGAAUUCAGACUGUCAACAUUCAAAUGUACCUAUCAAUGCAUGGAUACAAGCAUAUUUUCAAGACUUCACAAUCAAUAUGAAAUGAACUAUAAUGUUGUAAUCUCAACAAAGCAGAUCAUUAAUAAGAAUUGAGUGGUGUUUUCUCUUUCAACUCUGACGCCAUGGGUUUGUAUAAGUACAGCACAUGAAAAAAGAGCAUCCAAUAUGGAUUCAGCAAGACAAAUAGCUAAGAUUGCCUAAUCGUCUAGGGAAAAAAGGAAUAUAAACAUGAUUACAUGACAUUCAUCAUUCAUUGUCUUCUAACAUGUGAAACGCUAGUGUUAUGUGUUUUACUCUUCAUUCUUGGUAUAUGCUGUGGGAUAUACUGGAAAAAAAAUUAUUGGCUACAAGACACUAGGCGGGGCUCUGCAGCAAAGAAACUAGUGUCCUACAGCAUAGAAAAUGCAUUUCAAUGUCCUACAUCUAAGGAUCAGUGUCCUGUUGCUAAUUUUUCCAUUUAACUAACAUACACGAGGAAUUCUCGAGGCAUCAAACAUUGCAUGAUUUAUUUGCAAAGAUCCAUUUGUACCUUAAAUGUUUGUGUACCGUGGAGAGUCAACUUGAAUCUGGAAUAUGACCAUGUCUAAAACAUCAGAGACCUUGGCUUUUCCUUAAUUCAGUAGAUGAAAUAUCCAUGCGAAAUUUUUCCUCUGGUAUGGAAAUGAACAUGUCGCUCAGCUCUUCUGGAAUGACUAAAUCCUCAAGGGCCUUCGAAACAAAACAAGUAGUGUAUAUUGUUUCAGAUGAUCCCUCCCCCACUUCCUUCUCCCCACACCCAAAAAAAAGUGUGUAAAGAAAACAUCAAGUUAAAUUUAUACCUUGAAAACUCCUUCAAUCAUUCGACCACCAACAAGAAAAAUGGUACCUGUGCUUUUACAUUCGAGAAGUAUCUCCAGCAUUCUAUUGUAAUCUCCCCCAUAAUACUUGGGCUGCAAUGAAUAAACUUCAUUCAGUAUCAACAACAAAAUAUCCAAUUGUCAAUUUUACUUACACAGUAACGAGUAAACUCUGUCACUGAAGGUAAUACCACAAUUUAUGCUCAAAAGUAAGUACAAAGUGUGCUGAUAAGAAACUAAAAAGAUGAAAGAAACUGCAAAUUGCUACUCGAACAUUGGGUAUUUGGGUUGCAUAUUAUUUUCUAAUAAACAUAAAAUCAUUGAAUCCAAAACCUAAAACAUCCUUUCAGAAAGGAAACAAACUAAACUGGUAGGUAGUUUUAUCAUGACUGUCGAACUUCUUACAUUAACAAGUCUAGCUGCAGUGUCUGCACCAAUUAUAAAAGCACUUCCUGGGAAAAGCUCCGCUUUCUUAUAGAAGUAUGGUUGGUUAGAUAUUAUCACAUUCUUCCCUGUAACAGAAAGAGAACAACAGGGUGAGUUUCCCCCAGCAAAUCCCAUCCCUGUUAAGUUCUGAAAAAGAGCAGCUUGAACCUCAAAAGCAGUAAAUAAUCGGUGAGCAAUUAAACAGACUUUCAGCAACCAACAAUUGGUUGCCCAGGUUGUCAAUCACUAUUUUAUCCUCCCUUUGGUUUUAAAUAUAUGACGUUUAGGACAAGCUAACUAGAUAACAAAAUGAACUAACUAACUUGUCUUAAAUGUCAUAUAUUUAAAAACGAAGGGAGUACAAUGGUAAUAUAAACAAAAACUUAGGAAAAACACUACUGGACACUUAUGUAAAGAGCUCCCGCGAAAUCAUUUUUAGGCCUUGUUUGUUUGAGCUUUAGCUUUCCAAGCUUUCUAGAAAGCUGGCUUUUGGCUUUUACUCCCUGGAAGGGUGGCUUUCCGAAAGCUAACACCGUUUGGCAACCUAGCUUUUGGAAUGGAGGGAUGGAGUGUCUGUUCUGUGAGGUCCCCAUGUCAGACUUUUCUUCAACCUUGGAUGCCGGUCGGAUUUGGCGGCGGGCGAGAUUUGGUGGGGAGGAGGGGUGCUGCACCGACGGGGGAGAUUUGGAGUGGAGGAGCUCCCCUGCAGCGGCUUCCCGAGCCUGCCGGAUCUAGGCUCCUCGGCGGCAGGCGGAGGCGAGGCUGGGGGAGACACCGAAGGGGAUGGCGAGCGAGGCGAGCGGCACGGCGAGUGGGGCUGCUGCGGCGGCGGCGGCUCGGAGGAGAGGCUGAGGCACUGGAGUAGGAGGCGGCGGCGGGGCAGGGCGGGUCGCGGCAGGGCGGGACGGGGCGGGUCGGCGGCGAGGCAGUGGCAGGGUAGGGUAGGGUCGGCGGCGAGGUGGUGCCGGCGGCAGGACGAGACGGAGAUGGAGCUGAGGAAAGACGUUGAAAGCUACGGAAAGCUCACAUUUCCCUGCUUCUGGGCUUUCCAUGUAAUCAUAGUUUUUGUGGGCUUUUGGCUUUCGAAAAGCUCAGCCCAGAAGCUGGCCGUUUGUUUGAGCUUUCGGCUUCUUAGGGUGGAAAACUGCUGGAAAGCCCAAACAAACAAGCCCGCAACCCACCUGAAUGAAUGGUAAACAAGACUCCAGUUCUCUGUAACCGCAAACUGAACCACAUUUGGCAUGGCAAUCCGAUCAGAGUCCUAGGGUUAUUGCAAAAUCGAAGUCAUGGCACAUAAUUGUACAUGAUGCUGGGCCAUACCUGCUUUUCUAAAUUGCUCAACACGCCUCUUAAUUUCUGCAAUAGAUAGUGGAGGUUUAUCGGCAUUGAUUGCUGAUAUCUCAAAGAAUGGAAGCCCAUCAUCAUACAUGCUACAACAAGUGGAUCCAUUAAAAAUAUCAGGCAAUUUACUCUUUCUUCUAAGAUAAAACAAGGAAAAAAACAGAAGUGGACGAUCCAAUAUCUUGGGUACAAAAACAGCUAUAUGGAAAUAGUGUUGUGGAGCCACAUGCCAAUUGUCAAAACAUAGCAAACCUUCUCUUGACAAGUAAUUUUCUGUGACAAAUCAUUUUCACAUUUCCACUUUGCCAUUUUUGGUUUUUGUUUUCCCUUGCUAGUCUUUAACAUGCCCAAAUCCAAAAGUAGAAAUGUUUCUAUUUAUUCACAGCUUCUCCAGGAGUAAAUCAAACCUUGAUGCAACUUCCAACAGCUUAAGGUGGCCCUCAUGCAAGGGGUUGAAUGAACCAGGUAGAAUUACUUUCCUAUUGAAGUUCGUUUCCACUGGAGCUACAUUAAAGAAGAACAGUGUCAGAGAUGGAAGAGUUGUAGAAACAAUAGAACUAACAACGACCAAGGACACUAUGAUUCAAGAAUGAAAAUGGAAGAAAUUCUAGAAUGAAAAACAUAGCAACUCCAAGUGCUAAAAUAUACCGGGAAAGUGAUAGACUUUCAUGCAAACUUGCCCAUCAAUGACUUGUUGGAGCUCUUGAUCUUCAUCAAAUUGUUCCGUGCUUUCUUCUGGAAGUUCAGGUUCUUGAAUGCCUGACUGAAUAGUUGCAGAUACUCUGCAGGUAUCUGCUAUUGCCUACAAUGCGUACUCUUAAAAAUGAGUGCUACCUCCGAGAAUGCCAAUUAUCAUAAGAUUGGCCAAUCCUGACAUGAUGAGGAUUGGUUGCUUAUAUUUGUUGGUUACAAACUUAUGAUGUUCAACUUGAUCAAUAUUACCAAUGAGAACAUAUCAUCUAGUGAGGUGCAACAAACCUUAAGCAAAAAACAGCUUGAAACCUCGUCUUCUUCCUCUCUGCUCCGUAAACCCUGGGAAGAAAGAUUAUGGUAGCAUGAGGCAACACAAUUUAAUAAAUAAUAGUGGAUUGCUGCUAUUUUCUAUUCUGCUAACAAGUUCUAAAAAGACUAAGAAGUAGCGUCAAUUUAUUAAAGUGUAAGAAGGAACAACAGUGCUUGUACAGUUGUACCUUUGACAAGGUAACAUGUGAUGUCCUGAGGCAAUUGUGAGUCCACGUUGACACAUAAAACCUAUUUCAAAACGAGAACCAAAUGUCAUAUAGUGGACACUCAAGAAAGAGGAUUAACAAACUUAUAGAUGUUAUCAUAACAGCAAAAAGAUAAAGACCCCCCCUGAUUCCUCGAAAGAUGAGAAUUUUGUGCCAUAAAUCAUGUGCUCAGGCUCCUAUGGUCGUAUCGUAUCACAAUUCACAUGCUAAGUCAAGAUUCUAGCACGACCACUGCUCUAACUUGGUGAAGUGGGCUAGUUGCAAGGCAUACCUGUGGUCACCAUGUUUUGGACGUGAGCUUGCCAGUGACCCUGUAAAUCCAACACCCAUAACUUGGAGACCUAUGCAUACCCCCAAUCAAUUACUUCAAAAUUUACAGCAAGGAUAGAUGAUGUUAGGUGCAAAUAUGCAAUUCUGCAAGCUACAUAGUCAUGUGCAGAAUGAUCAAGUAUUGCGAAGUAAAGUAAGGACCUGUUUGGAUGCAGGGUGCUAAAGUUUAGCACCCGUCACAUCGGAUGUUUGAUACUAAUUAGGAGUAUUAAAUAUAGGCUAAUUACAAAACUAGUUGCACAGAUAGAGUCUAAUUUGCGAGAUGAAUCUAUUAAACCUAAUUAGUCCAUGAUUUGACAAUGUGGUGCUACAGUAACCAUUUGCUAAUGAUAGAUUAAUUAGGUUUAAUAGAUUCGUCUUGCGAAUUAGACUCCAUCUAUGCAAUUAGUUUUGUAAUUAGCUCAUGUUUAGUCCUUCUACUUAACAUCCGAACAUCCGAUGUGACACUGCUAAAAUUUAGCACGUAGUAUCCAAACACAUCCUAAGUCACACAGACCUGGCCCAGAAAGCUUGAGUGUUCGGUUGUACGCGGCCAGUGACAUGUCCUCUGCAGCCUGCUUGCUGUUGAGGGGGUAUUUGUUUCUUUAGUCCCUCCUAAAAUUUCUGUCACAUCGAAUGUUUAGAUACUAAUUAGGAGUAUUAAAUAUAGACUAAUUACAAAACCAAUUGCACAGAUGGAGACUAAUUUGCGAGAUGAAUCUAUUAAGCCUAAUUAGUUCAUGAUUUGACAAUGUGAUGCUACAGUAAACAUGUGCUAAUGAUGGAUUAAUUAGGCUUAAUAGAUUCGUCUCGUGAAUUAGCCUCCAUCUGUGUAAUUAGUUUUAUAAUUAGCUUAUAUUUAGUCCUCCUAAUUAGCCUCCAAAUAUUCGAUGUGACAUAAAUUUUAGGAGGUCCUAUAGAUCAAACACCCUGAAUUGCAAGGCCAUCUGACCAUCAAAGCACGGUCAGUGCAAACAGUACCGUCAGGCGUCAGGAAUAAGCCAAUAACAUCUGAGUAGUUGUUUGACUGUGGGUUCGCAAGUGGACGCGCAGAGUGUUUCGGGAGUGCCGAUUCCGUUACCUUGCCAAGGAGCUGCGCCAUGGAGGCCCUGGAGGAGGGCACGACGACCUCGAGGACGGUGCCCGACGCGCCGCGCACGGACAGGAGCCAGCCGAGCGCCUGCGCCGAAUGGGGGUGCCGGGCAGUUGGGAAUAUGGCCGAUUUGACGGGAAAAUUACAGCGCGCGGGGCCAGGAGGUGCUGGUACGGAUACCUGAGAUGCGCCGCCGGCGAGGUAGGGCCCGUUUGGUUGCCUAGUCCAUGUUUAGGUCACUUCAAAAUCCCAACUUUAACACUAUGCAAAAAGAAGAUUUCCAUCACAUCAAACUUGCGGUACAUGCAUGGAGUACUGAAUGUAGACGAAAUCAAAAACUAAUUGCACAGUUUUGUUGUACUUUGCGAGACGAAUCUUUUGAGCAUAAUUAGUCAAUAUUUGGACAAUAAUUCACAAUACAAACGAAACGCUACAGUGUCGCUAUAGGAAUUUUGACACCCCAAAGUUGGGCAACUAAACAAGGCCCUAGAGGAGUCUAGCCUAGUUCGCGCCAGCUCACGUGGCUCCCCAGAGCCAAGCCCAUUGCAUACAGGAGCAUGGUGGUCGCCUGCUCGCACAGGCCAGGCUCUCCCGAGAAGCUGUUUGUUUGCUCGGAUAAGGACGGGUUGCAUGAGAUGAAAAUAUAUAAAUAAUCAUCGUAAUGACAUUUGUUACGGGGAAACUAUUAUCUCAUAGCUCUUAGUUUAUCUUAUUACUACUUAAUAUUAAUCAAAAUAUGUUAAUAUCAUUUAAUAUGUGCUAAUAAAUGUAUUAAUAACGUCUUUAGAUGGCUAAUACCUACGCCACGCGAGCCUAGCCCGGCAGAAACGGCCGAUUUCCUUGCACCAGCAGAGCCUGACUACGGAGGGAAUCUUGCACGCUCGGAGUCUGACCGAGCAGAUACGCAAACCAAAUAAAUAGAAAAUCUUGCAUCGGCAGAGUCUGACUGAGGGCUGAUGGAGGCAACCAAACGUCCCGUUAGAUGAUCGCCUGGGAGCGAAAGGAGUGGAUGGCCUCCACCACCGCGCGGACGCAGCUCUCCAUCGCGAUCCCGGUGGACGCCGUUGGCUUGGGCGAGCUGCUACGGGACGAGACGACGCGGGGAUUUUGUCCGGUUCCCCUCCUGUUUUUUUUUUAAGGAAGAGUUCCCUCCUGUAGAUGUAGAAAAAAAAAACUCUGCUGUGGGCCGGAUCCCUCAGAACCCGUUUACGCAACGGCCUACGCAACCGACACCAGGUGGUCAGGCCCACAGCCCAAUGUCGGUUCCCGCACGUGCCGCCCUGGCCCGCAACUACUCCACCGAACCCUUCAAAGCCCACGUAGGGGUCUCGAAACCGCAACAAUCGCAGUUCGCAGACCGCAUUGCUGGCUGAAUCGCCUUCGCACCGCCACAGCCUUCCGUCGUCCUCUCCGACAUCGACUCGCACCGACCACUAGCGGCGCCACCUCCUCCUCAGCCCCAGCCAUGGCCGGCGGCGACGGUGAGGCGGCGGCCCUAAACCCCCGUCUCCUCCACGAACGCCCUCGUACACCUCUCGCGUUGACGUCGUUCCCCUCUCUUCUACCCCGCAGGCGAUCGCCACCGCGCGCCGAAGCGGCACAAGUCCUCGGCCCCGUCGAAGGCGGCCCUGGUGGACGAGAGCGCCGAGUUCGACUACGCCGAUGACUUCGACGACGAUGCCCUUGACGGUACCCACCGCGCGCUUGAUCCCCUCCUAAAUCCGCGAACCAUCCCCAAAUCUGUGGGGUUUCUUCUGAACUUCUGAUCGAUUUGAGGGAUUUGGGGGUGGAUGUCUUUGUUCUAUUGCAGCGAAUACGGAGGUGAAGAAGAGGGAUUUCACGAAGCUCGAGUUGAAGCCGGAUCACGCGAACCGGCCCCUCUGGGCGUGCGCGGACGGACGCAUCUUCCUCGAGACCUUCUCGCCGCUCUACAAGCAGGCAUACGAUUUCCUUAUCGCUAUUGCUGAACCUGUGUGCAGGUCCGCUUUAAUCAGUUCCAUACUUGAAUACCACCAGCUGCACCUUUAAAUCAGAGUUGUCAUGGCUGUACCCAGAUGGCUCACAACCUGAAUUGGAGCCGUUGAUUUCUCCAUGGAGUUCUGAUAGCAUGAAUUAGGGCUGCAGUAAGAUGUCCGUGCUUUGGAUAGGAUUGGUCUGGUAAAUCCAGAACACAUUGUUAACACACUAGCCGCAAGUCUGUCUUUGGAUGUCUUGGACCAGGAGAUGAAUUUUGAAUAUUUACAAGACAGGAUUUCUUGACUUGCGAUUUUGCAUUCCAUUCAAAACCCGACAUAAGAGUCAACAUGAUGUCAUUUGAAGGAAUUUGUGUGAAAUUGGUUGGAGGGAUACAUAUGCUAAGAAUUGGGAGGGAGAAAUACAGUGGUGCUUGCUCAAUUUAAUUAAGCAUGGUUACAUGGAUCUUUAGGUUUUAAGGCUAUGCUGAAUGUAGCUAUGGCAUUUUCCAGAGUUUUGUUGCUUCUGGUGCUAUUUGUUCGUGAGUGGAUUUGGAAUAAACAAAUAUUAUUUGAACACUAUCUAAACUUGACCAAAGUUAUGCGAGAUGUUUACCCUUGUUUCCUAGGUAAUAAUUACUAGGACUUGCUUAGUUUUGAGGAUUGAAUGGUGUGUUAGAGAUAUCCUGAGCUUGUUACUUCAAAGAAACAGCAAGUCAGCAACAAUAGUAAGCUAAAUUGUAACUGUAUCUGAGCUACCAUGGUGCUCUGGAUAUUGAAAUGAAUUUAUGCGUUAAAUGCUUGAAUAUAUUCAAUGAAGGUUUCCAACUUUUCUUUCUGAAAAUUCAACCUUUUUUUUGUUGUGCAGGCCAGAAUCUAUGCAUGAGUACAAUCUAACUCCCCACUCAUUGUAUGCUGCGGUCUCAGUAGGACUUGAGACAAGCACUAUUAUUAGUGUCUUGAGUAAACUCUCUAAGACUAAGUUGCCUCGUGAAAUAAUUGACUUCAUCCACGGAUCAACUGCUAACUACGGCAAAGUGAAGCUUGUCUUGAAGAAGAAUCGAUAUUUUGUUGAGUCUCCAUUUCCUGAGGUCAUAUCACUUGACCUUUGUAUAAAGAAUUCUGAUAGCUCUAUCGCUUUUCUUUGUUGAGGGAACUGUGGCAUCUCUUGUGCAGGUAUUGAGUAACCUCCUGAACGAUGAUGUUAUAUCAAAAGCUAGGAUAUCUCCUGAGGUAUUAUUUACUUUGGAUGUAUAAUAUCAAGCUGAAGUUAGUGUCAGGUAGAGGAGAAUUUGCACACUGUGGAAAUGUCAAUUUUGUUCAUGUCAUCAGUUUUUUUGUUUUCUUUCUGGUUUUGAGUAAUUGGUUCUCAACUUAUUGGGUGUGUAAUCAUAUUGGACAUUUGAAACCAUUGCAGCUUAGGAAAAGUUUGUUACCUACCUCACUAGCCUUUGUGUGAUAAAAGUUGUUUUCCUGCUAAUUUGUCUACAUUAAACCAGCUAUCCAUUUAACUUAGUUGUUUGCUUCUCAACGUCGUAUGAAUCUAUUCUAAUUUUCCUUCAGGAUUCCCUUGGUGCAUCUUCAUUUACUAUUAGCAAAACAUCUGGACAAGCUAGUGGCCAUGAAGAGUUGUUAAAUGGAAUGGACUUGGCUGCUGCAACUGAAGACAAGGAAACACAUUCUUUUGAGAUUGAUCCCUCUCAGGUAUUUUUUCAUUUCUACUGAAGGUUGGGAACCACUAAAGUUAUUGAGGGACUGAUGUUCCAUUUAUCUCACACAGGUUGAGAACGUCAAGCAACGGUGCUUGCCAAAUGCAUUGAACUACCCCAUGCUGGAGGAGUAUGAUUUCAGAAAUGACACUGUAAGCUUGUCUUUUCUCAGGGAACAGCUAAUGCAUAUUGUUUUUCUGUUCUUUUUUCAUCGAUAAACAAUGAUCAUAAUGCUGAAAAGUUUAGACCAAAAGGAUGGGAUAAAUUGCAAACCACAGUACCUCUUGUUGGAGAAUGCAAAAAUUGGGGUUGGCCCAGGUCAAAGGAAUGUGAUAGAUGCACAUAUGCAUCAAAGAAAAUAAGUCAAAUGAAAGGGUAGGAGAAAUUUCAAACCACCUUAGCUCUACGUCAAAUAAUACAAGGGUCAAGGGGUGGGAUUGAUCCCUGCUAAUGGAAUGUAGAUGAACUUGCAUCAAUAGAAAACGUUACUCCCUCUGGUCAUAGAAAAGUGGCAAUUUUGGACAUGAACAUAAUCUUGGAAACACUACUUUUACUACUGAAUUUUAUUGUGAUAUGAUUUAGAAUCUAAUGAAGUUAUAAUAUGUGAAAGUAUUUUUAACACAAAGCUGCUCAUGGAUCUAAAGUUUAACUUAGUUCCUCUUCAAUUUUAAUUGUAGGUAAACCCAGAUUUGGACAUGGAGCUAAAGCCGCAAGCACGACCCAGGCCAUAUCAAGAAAAGAGUCUCAGCAAGAUGUUUGGAAACGGUAAGUUCAUCAUGUAAAGCUUAUGUAGAAUUGAGUUUCAAACAGUUGGUACUCUGUUAGAGAGCUAUUGAUGGCCACGAAGUUUGGGCUGAAGAAUUUCCCAGUGAUUAGCAUCGAAAGCCCAGUAUUGGUCUCUUAUCCGAUUGCACAUUCUGAUUUGCAGCCAGGUCCGAAAUGAAAGUAAAUGUGCCUUCUCUGUGCAAUGGUCUUGCAAUGCCUUGUUUAAUAAGGUGUCCAGUAUUGUUUAAUGUUGCGAAUACUAAGUGAAGAUGUUGCAAAUUUUUAACUGAUAGCAAAAUAUGUGUUUACUCAGGAUGUAAACCAAAUUCUCCUUGCUCUUUUUAGCUAGUGAUUUUGUUCCCUUGGGUCAUUUAUUAAUCUUUCCAUUGUAGAAGUUUUUGGCUUUUGCAUGGAGUAAACAAUUUGUGAUACUUGUAUGCAGUGAAUGCUAGCUUUUCUAAUUUGAUUUAAUUUGUAAUUAUGCAGGACGAGCAAGGUCAGGCAUUAUUGUGCUACCUUGUGGUGCUGGCAAAUCCUUGGUUGGUGUAUCUGCAGCCUGCCGUAUUAAGAAAAGUUGUCUAUGUUUGGCCACAAAUGCUGUCUCCGUAGAUCAAUGGGCAUUUCAGUUCAAGCUUUGGUCAACUAUAAAAGAUGACCACAUUAGUCGUUUUACAUCUGAUAACAAGGAGAAAUUUAGAGGGAUGGCAGGUGUGGUUGUGACUACAUAUAACAUGGUUGCAUUUGGUGGUAAACGGUCUGAAGACUCAGAGAAGAUUAUUGAAGAAAUCCGAAACAGAGAGUGGGGCUUGCUUCUAAUGGAUGAGGUGGGCUGGUCUAUUAUAAUCUGAUCAUUGGGGUUUUAUUCUUCCAUGUCUUAAUAAAGUAUAAUGCAGUGUCACUUUUGUCUCCUUUUCUAUUCAGGUUCACGUUGUCCCUGCACAUAUGUUUAGAAAAGUCAUCAGCAUCACUAAAUCUCACUGCAAGCUUGGUCUUACUGGUACGUCUCCAUCAUAUAAUCCUGCAUGGUUUCACUGUUUGCUUUUAUGACGUAUCAUAAACUCAUUAUAUUAAAAUUACCACAGCUACCCUUGUGAGAGAGGACGAACGCAUUACCGAUUUGAAUUUUCUAAUUGGACCAAAACUGUAUGAAGCGAAUUGGUUGGAUUUAGUGAAAGGUGGAUUUAUUGCAAAUGUGCAGUGUGCAGAAGUAUGGUGUCCCAUGACCAAAGAGUUCUUUGCUGAAUAUUUGAAGAAGGAAAAUUCAAAGAAGAAGCAGGUGAACCCAUAUUGAAGUUUGUCAUAGGUUCCUGCAGAGAAUUUAUAUAAGUUUUUGUCCUUCCAGAUUGCAAAUUCAUGUAUUCCAGUUUCCACUAUUGCUUUAUUUUAUUCCCAUUGUACCUUUCCCUCUAUGCAAUAGUCGACUUCAUUUGUUUCCUUUAGCUAUUCACCUCCAACAAGACAUACCACUCUUAUACUUUUGACAACAGUACAUAUAUGAAUUUUCACUGAUUGGAAUUCCAUUUUCUUUAAUUUCAUUCUCGUCUUCCUGGAAGCUAACUUAUGUUUUGAGGAUCACAUCUUACUGCCCUUACAUGCCAGGUACUUUAUGUCAUGAAUCCAAACAAGUUCAGGGCUUGUGAGUUCCUGAUUCGAUUCCAUGAGCAACAACGUGGAGACAAGAUAAUUGUGUUUGCUGACAAUCUAUUUGCACUAACAGCUUAUGCAAUGAAACUCCGCAAGCCAAUGAUUUAUGGUGCCACAAGGUGACUUUACAUUUAUGCAGAUGUUACCUAGUUUCCUCUAGUUUGCGCUUAUUUAUCUUUGAAUCACAUUCAGCCAUGCGGAGAGGACAAGAAUUCUCUACCAAUUCAAGAACAGUCCAGAAGUCAAUACAAUUUUCCUUUCAAAGGUGUGAUUACUGACUAUCUAAUAUUAAAUAUGUAUUUCAAAUCAACUUACUGUCAGCAAUGUUGGUGACUAUAUGCUAUUUCCUGUUAGGUUGGUGAUAACUCGAUUGAUAUCCCAGAAGCUAAUGUUAUCAUACAAAUAUCAUCUCAUGCUGGUUCAAGGCGUCAAGAAGCUCAGCGUCUGGGACGUAUUCUCAGGGCAAAGGUACUAUUGGACCAUUUGUUUCAUUUUACAUACAAGCUGGCUGUAAUUGCUGCACUUGAUCCUUUGGCAUUCAAAAUUAUUCUGUGUGGAUGUUUCUGUUCCUUUUGACACUCAAAAUUAUUCUGGACAUUUAGAAGUCAUCAUAAAUUACACAUUAUGGUGAAAUUCUUUUAACACAGUAAACUUCAACGUUAUAAAUUUUGAUUGACAUCCAACAUAACAUAUUGCUGUUGUGCUGUGGCAAAGCUUGUGACUAAAUUGUCACUCCUGCUGACCUUGUAUUUGUAGUAGUUGCACAUAGGUUGUUUAUUUGCACACUAUCCUAUUUACCAGUGUGGGGCUACCAACCUGGAUUUCGGUUUCAGCUUAUAGUUAUGAGAGUCACUUUGAUGUGGCCAAUAGAUUGGGGAUAAAGUGAUACAUAAAUUAUUUGGAAGACUUAGAUCUAAACUGCAACAGUCCUAUAAUGAAUAUCAUGAAUUGUGUAUUCUCAUUAAAUCUCUUGUAAAUUAUUGUGACCUCAGGGUAAGCAUCAAGAUAGGAUGGCUGGAGGAAAAGAAGAAUACAAUGCUUUUUUCUAUUCUCUAGUGUCAACCGACACACAGGUUAGUCUCACUGGAUUACUCAUUUCCUCAUUAUUUCCCCCUUUUUUUACUGGAAACACCAGCAUGCAUAUAUGUUAUGACAGCCCUGUAAAUUAUCUUCAGUAUAUCAGGAUGACAUUCUUUUUUGCUGAUGCAGGAGAUGUACUACUCAACAAAAAGGCAGCAGUUUCUUAUUGACCAGGGAUAUAGCUUCAAGGUAUGGCCUCUGGAGCAUUCUUAAGUUGUAAAGAAUUAUACUGUAAUUUGACUCUUACCCAUAGUACGUGCAGCUGCCCGCACCUGCUGAGAUUGUUCUUUUGGCACAUUUUAGUGAUGAAAUAUUGUACUUGCCAGGUUAUCACUAGUUUGCCGCCACCUGAAGAAGGACCUAAUCUGAGCUAUUACACGCUUGAUGAACAGCUUGAGCUUCUGGGCAAGGUGGGCAUUUCUGUACCCCAUUGGUUGUAGGUCAUAGUUCCCUUGUUGGUUGUUACUGACUGUGCAGAUGCCCCAUUCACCACUUCCAACAGGUGCUGAAUGCAGGGGAUGACAUGAUUGGCGUUGAGCAUUUGGAAGAAGACUCUGAUGGCAAGGCUCUUCUGAAAGCUCGUCGCUCUGCCGGAUCGAUGAGUGCCUUUUCUGGAGCCGGUGGAAGGGUUUACUUGGAAUACAGGUGCUGCAUCUAUCCACUCUUCCUCUGUUUUUUUAUUUGGUGCCAUAUCCAACCUCAUCGUUAACUGGAUGCACAUCGCCUGUGUCCUGUUCUUCCAGCACGAAGGGGAAGGGUGCUCCGAAGAAACCCAAGGACCCAUCAAAGAGGCAUCAUCUGUUUAAGAAGCGCUACCAGUAGGAUGCCAGAGAAGUUGUGUAGCCUGUUAUGCUUUGCUGACAAUGACCUGGUUCAUGAGAACCUUCUUGCUUGGCAUGAAAAUGUCGUUGGUUUUAACAGAGAAGCCAGGUUAUGCAAAGCUGUCACUUUCUGUUAGGGCAACCGUACUAGCAAUUUCCCUCGUUUUGAGCAAGGUUUCUGAGCAAUUAUAUCGAGGACAAUUUUGGUCUUUGGCUUACGCCUGCUGCUUUCUGUUCGCAAACGAGGAUGUAUGUCUUCUUGAAAAAUGUAAAUAUUGUGUAAGGCUUGUGUGCACAUUGAGCUAUAAGCACGCUAAAGCUGCAACGCGUCAUUAGCGAUGCUGAACGACCUGGCGCUGGCCUUAAUAUUUUAACUCCAAAGAAAUUUAAAUUUUACAAUCCUGUGUAUGAUGCAGUAUGGUCAAUGGUUACCAGUUUGAUGUCUUGUGAUUAUUGUUCAUGAGCAUUGCAACGUUUGUUCAAUUUUGAUGGUGCAACUUUCCUAAUAUGCUUAAUUUCCUUCUUUCUGCCCUUAAAUAGAAAUGAGGCCUGCAUAUGACAUUAUUUAAAUUCUCAAGAUAAACAUGUAUCAAACGGUUGACUACCGUCCACCCUUGCCCCGUCAAAUCCAUCAAAUAACUGGAAUGGCUUCAUGUCAGAUACACCACCGAACUUUAGGAACAACAUUUUGGACGAUAUCGUCACUUUGGCCGCUAUUUUCUAUUAGAUAUAACUAAGAGGUGUAUAAUAAAGUAAUAGUCUAAUAAAAUUGUUUUCAAUACAAAACAUAUAGUGGAGUAAUGUUUAUUAUACAUUUACAGUUUCUGAAGUUUUACAAAUCUUUUCCGAGAAUCCGUCGAAACGCAAGUUUAUCAGCAGAUAUACAUGCGUUCCGCUUAUAUAUACUCCAAAACAAAAUUGCAAAGAAGAAAACGGAAAUUGCUGACGAGUCUCCCAUCCAAUUCGCGACCCCGUCGUCUCGUGCAGUCGCAAGCACGAGGCUGUGAGCGAGCCAGCCAAGACGCUCUUCGAUUUGCCCUCACUCCAGCCCAGCCAGCCAGCCGCCCAAAAAGCCAGGCGCAAAUCACAACCUCGCCUCCUGUCCCCUCCCCUCGCUCCUCGUUCCCCUCUCGCCGCCCGCCCCCGGCCGCGAUCGAGGCGGCGCCAAUAACCAAGGGCGGGCCUCACCCUUAGCAGUGAUAAUGUAUUCGCCAUACUGACAUGACACCCUAUAAUGAAAAUGAAAACCCCAUUAUAUUGGCACUAGCCCUUAGGAUUCUUUUUCUCCUGUGAUGUAUCAUGUAUGCAUUCGUCCCAAGUAUAUUAAUUAGAAAUUUUUGCAAUAUCCCCCUUCUUCCCUCAUUUUGAUUUCAUAUGGCUAUAUAUUUUAGCUUGUAACAUACAUCGCAUGUUUGUAUCCAUUUGGUACCACAAAUAGCUGGAUACACAUGAAAUGCUUAUUUAGCAUGCAGGCAUGCUAAUAUUAUUGUGACUUGUCUUUAGGUGUAUGGUUUCUAUGAUGAGUGCCAGUGAAAGUAUGGGAAUGCCAAUGCAUGGCGGUACUGCACUGAUGUUUUUUAUUACCGUACGCUUUCAGCAAUCAUUAAUGGAUAAGUAAGUUCCUCUGGGCAAAGAAUUUGCAGAUUGUCAGUUCAUGUUAUUUGGGACAAGUCAUACUUAAAUUAUAUGCUGAAUUCAGGUCCUCUGUGUUCAUGGCGGUCUUUCUCCUGAUGUACGCACCAUUGAUCAGGUUCGUGACUUUUCUUCUGUGGCUUUCUUAUAGUUAUUAUACUCAUCGGUCCAUAGAUGUUUAUAGCUUCCAUAUUUCCUGUCUUGUAGGUAUGCCAUACUUAGUGAAAAUAUGUGAAGUAGAAAUAUAUUUUACUUGGUCUAUGAAAGGAUGAAAUGAUUACAACUAUUUGAAAUUUCCAUUGUCACCAAUGAUGCAAAAUUAAUGUUUCAGUGCAUGUCUGCUAGAACUUUUGAAUGAGCGAACAGUUUAUAUAUAUUAUUUUCAGUGAUUUCUCUGUUCUUUUUUCAGCUGGUUGUGCUAACUCUUUUUUUUAAAAAAUGUUUGCUAUAUAAUUUCCUUCAGGAGUAAGAACAGUUAUCAUCAAUGAACUGGUGGUGCUAAUUGUACAGUAAGAAUGGUUAUCAUCAAUGAACUGGAAAGUAACUGGCCCUUAGCAUUGAUGACUCAUUUUUGUGAAGAAUGGUAGAGUAUCUGAUUCUGGGGUUGAUUUGGCCUUAGCAUUUCUGACUUGUUUUCUGAAGAAUAGUAGAGUACAUGAUUCUGUUGCUUUUUAUGAAUAAAUGUUUCGAUGAGAUUAAACAUUUGAUUAUCUUUUAUCACUAGAUACGAACAAUUGAUCGCAAUUGUGAAAUUCCCCACGAAGGUCCUUUCUGUGAUCUUAUGUGGAGUGACCCUGAAGAGAUAGAGACAUGGGCUGUUAGUCCCCGUGGUGCAGGUUGGCUGUUCGGAUCACGAGUCACAGCAGAGGUGUGCAUACAAUCUUUCUUGUUAUUUUAUUAUUCCGAAUCGCCCUUCUAUUCAGUCCUUGUAAAUGCCACUUUUUGCUAUGCAGUUCAACUUUGUUAACGGUAUCGAGCUAGUUUGCCGAGCUCGCCAGCUGGUGCGGGAAAGCUUAAAGUACAUGUUUCAGGAGAAGGGCCUUGUGACUGUUAGUUCUUAUUCCCACAUAGAUUGUCACUCGAGAUACUGGUAGCAUCAUAUUAGUAGUUUCUAUUUUUUUUUAUUUCAGCAUGACUGAAUUAUUACAUUUGAAUUGUUUAUGAUGCUUUGUUUGUACUAUUUCUUUCCAGGUGUGAUCUGCACCUAAUUAUUGCUACAGAUGUGGCAAUGUAGCUUCCAUACUAAGCUUUGAUGAAAAGAUGAUAUGUUGUUUCGUUUAGAAGAGUUUGCUUGAAGUCUUCUGCAUACCUGAUUACUCUUGAGUAAAUUCAUACAAUAAGUUCAGCUCAAUCUUCAGCAUGUUUUAUUGUGCAUAUACACAAGCAGUUUUUGUACAUGUGAAUGGGCAACAGAAAAGCAACCGGUGUUUCUGGCCAAUAUUUUUAGAUCUUUACUUAGUGAAGUGGUUAUACAAGUGAAUGUUACGUACAUCUAGGUGGGGUCUCUCCUUUGUUCUGCAACUCACCAAGUUUUUGUUAAGACAUUUUCUAUGCUUGCUAGUGAUAGCUGAUAGGCAGGGGCUGGAAAAUAAGGAAUAAAUCAUAGUCUUUUGAAUAGGGGCAGGGUUUCAGUUGGACCGUCAAUGAAAUAAGCAAAUUGUUGUCUUUCUGCAUCAACCAUGCUUUUUUGGGGAAUCAAGCAGACUUUGUGGUUUAGUGGUUCAUCAGCAACAGUUAUGCAUGUGGGUUUGUCUUGGCUGAGGAAGAGGGGUCCAAGUUGCCAUGAAAAGGCAAAGUCUGCUCGCUUUUGUCAACAAGUACCAGCAGACCUCUGAUUCUUUUUCGCAUUAACAUCUGAUUGCUCCUAGUUUUGCAUCACCAAUUGUCGUGUAUCUUGUUUACGACUGCAUGGUGGUUGGCAUGUUAUGCUCCACUGCGCUUUGCUUAACUUAAACCAAAGUGUAAUGAGAUGUAGCUGAUGCUGAUCAAUGCUGUAUACUUUUCUGUUGCCAGGAAAGAGACGUCAAGUUCUUCACGGAGACAGAGGAGAACAACCAGAUGCGAGGCCCAAGGACCGCAGUCCCAUAUUUCCUCUGACUUCAAUUGUACAAUUUUAGAAGUCAAACGUUUAAAUCUGUAAGGGCUAAAAGAUCAACCAGAGGUGUUUGUUGUUGUAGGUUCAGAUCAUAGUGCAAUAUGAUGCAUUUGAUUUCUCCAUUUUCUUUUAACCACAUGUACAUAGACCAUCGGGAGUCAUGUUACUGUAUCCCUUCAGUGACACCGUCAAGUUUUGUUCUUGAUUUAUUUCACGUGCUAUUUAUCAUCGUGGACCGCGCAUGCGUUGCGCAACAGAAAUGUUUCUGCUGCCUGUUUAUUUUAUUUCUGAUGUGAUAUUUUCCUUUUAGUUUGCACUCGCCUAGUAAGAUAUUUUUCUUGUAAACAUCUCGUGUGCGCACUUCCUGGCAUAUAUUCUUGGUUGGAUAGCACCAGGUAUUUAUUCGGUAAUGCAGUUUGAUUCUGCGUGAUAAACCACUCCUAAUCUUAUUUGCAAGCGUUUAACGUGAGACACGCGGAACCGAAUUCAUCACCGGGUUGCGCAUGAAAGCAACAGUUGCGACGAUUGUAAAGUCCCGUUUGGAUACUCCUGCUAAAGUUUAGCACCUGUCACAUCGGGUGUUUGAAUGCUAAUUAGGAAUAUUAAAUAUAGGCUAAUUACAAAAUUAAUUACACAGAUGGAGUUUAAUUCGCGAGACGAAUCUAUUAAACCUAAUUAGUCCAUAAUUUGACAAUGUGGUGCUACAUUAACCAUUUGCUAAUGAUGGAUUAAUUAGGCUUAAUAGAUUUAUCUCGCGAAUUAGCAUAGAGAUUCUGCAUUAGUUUUAUAAUAGUUUAGUACCUGUCACAUCGAGUGUUUGGAUGCUAAUUAGGAAUAUUAAACAUAUACUAAUUACAAAAUUAAUUACACAGAUGGAGUUUAAUUCGCGAGACGAAUCUAUUAAACCUAAUUAGUCUAUGAUUUGACAAUGUGGUGCUACAUUAACCAUUUGCUAAUGAUGAAUUAAUUAGGCUUAAUAGAUUUGUCUCGCGAAUUAGCAUAGAGAUUCUGCAAUUAGUUUUAUAAUUAGCUCAUAUUUAGUCCUCCUAAUUAGCAUCCGAACAUCCGAUGUGACAUUGCUAAAGUUUAACACCUAGUAUCCAAACAUCCAAGUGUAGCAUCCAGCAUACAUACCAAGUAUCUGCUCACCAUCGGCCAGUGACCAAGCAGGGCGCGGGUUUGCUGCGCGGCAGAGGCCACGAGCAGAUCAAGAUGCCUGCGCCGCACGGCGGGGGUUACGGGCUUUACGGGCGCACGGCGUGUCGCCCACCUGCCCGCUCUCCAACGGAGCGGAGAAGGCAUGCCCUCCGCUGCCUGUCUCCUCCCUCGCCCGCCCACCGGCGCGAACGAAUCUCACUUCUCAGUGACCGCACGCGAUGCGCACGAGCGCCGCCUUGGGGUGGGCACCGAGCCGCGUCACCGGCGCCCGACAGCGAUCGCCGUUUGCAUCGUCCUCCGGCCGCCGUCUCUUUUUUUUCCUUGCUCUCGGUUAGAUGUACCCGUGAUUCGCUGCCCUCCCCGCCCACCCGGGCAGCUUUUGGGUUUGGACGGCGCGCGCCGUGCCGCGGCCUCAGAUCGUCGUCGUCCUCACGUGACCGGGGCUCCCCUCGGUUAAACAAAGCUUCGCCGUGCAUGUCAGGUGUCAGGUCGUGUCCUGUCUCGUGUGCUCGACUUCUCGUGCGACGGUGCGAGUGCGAGUGCGAGUGCGAGUGCGAGUGCGAGCCCGUGCCCCACGGCAGGUCGAACAACAACAGACUGCUAAAUCGGUGGAGCCUGCGGGCAUCUUUUGGCAGGCGGAGGCUGUGCUGUGCUUGUUCCUUUUCCCAAUUUUCAUGAUCGUUCAGGUGGCCCGUACUGUCUUUACUCCCCACUUCAUUUAAUACCGCUAGUGGUCUUUGAACUUUUGUUUGAAAAAAAACGGAUUCAAAUCUCACCGUGUUUGUAAUAACUCCCUUGAAUGCACGUGCUCCCUCCAUCCCAAAUUAUAAGUCGCUUUGAUUUUUUUGAUACAUUCAGGCUCCGUUUUCUUCCACUGACUUAUUUUUAGCACCGUCACAUCAAAUGUUUAGAUACUAAUUAGGAGUAUUAAGCGUAGACUAUUUACAAAACCCAUUACAUAAAUCGAGGCUAAACGGCGAGAUGAAUCUAUUAAGCCUAAUUAGUCCAUGAUUUGACAAUGUGUUGCUACAGUAAACAUUUGCUAAUGAUGGAUUAAUUAGGCUUAAUAGAUUCGGCUCGCCGUUUAGCCUCCACUUAUGUAAUGAGUUUUGUAAAUAGUCUACGUUUAAUACUCCUAAUUAGUAUCUAAACAUUCGAUGUGACACGUGCUAAAAAUAAGUCAUCGGAAGAAAACGCCCCCUCACUUUGCUAUGUAUAUAGAUAUAACAAUAUGUCUAGAUGUAUAACAAAGUGGAUGUACCAAAAAAGUCAACUUAUAAUUUGGGAUGGAGGGAGUAUUUAUUUUUUUUCAAAUGAAUGCACCCAUACGUAUGUUUGACCGGCAACGGAUCGAUACCUCACCAGUCCACUUCUCAACAGCAGAAAAUAACGCUGUGUUUCGAUUUUCUAGUUUUCUUUCGCAGAAUGAUGGGAGAUGCAAAUGAUAAUGCAGCUCUCGAUGAUUGAUCGAACCAUGUAUGUAGAAAAGAAAAGAGAGAAAUGCACCUGUACACUUGGCCUUGUAAGAUCGGCGUGAUGGAACGAACGAUCCGGUUUCGCCAGAAAUCAUUUUUUUUUCUGGACGAGCUAAACAGAGCCGCGAAGGAGCAAAUCGAAACAGCAGCAUAUCCUACUUGGCAUGGCAGAUGCUCUGGUUGUGGGCAAAAUUGCAGAGCAAAAAAAAAUUGUGUGUGUGUGGGUGGGGUGGGGGGGGGGGAUGUCAGUAACUGACUAACUUGACGCUACCUCCUCCGAUCCCGAGGCGGCGCCGCGGCGGCGGCGGUAGACGCGCCGGCUGCGGCUGCUAGGAUGUCCGGCCUCCACGCGCACGCGGCGACCGCGACCGAGCCGGGGCCCGGUCCUCCUCCCGCCCCAUUGCCCGCCUGCCGGCGCCGCCCCGCAGGAACUCCCCGACCUCGGCGUCCGAGAACGACGACGAUCCCCCCGGCGCGAGCCGCCGCCGGGGCCGCCGCCUCCACCUGCCGCAGCACCGCCUCGCGACGCGGAGCGGCGCGCGCGCCACGCAGCAGAGCACGGCCACGGGCAGGCACGCGCAGAGCACGCAGCACGCCGCCGCGCACUCCGCCACCGCCGCGCGGCUCCCGGCGGUGGGGUCCGCGGGCGGCGCCGCCGGGGACGCGCCGGGCCCGGGCCCUCCUCCCGGCCGCUUCUUCGCGGGGACCUCGGCCGCCGCCUUCUUCCUUCGCGUCAUGCCCCUCCGGCCCUCCGCGCUCGCUUGCUUAGUUGCUUCUCCCUUCCCGACUCCCCGCGGCGGCCGUGGCUUGCUUUGGCUUCCGGCGCGGGGGAUUCGCUUACGAGGCGUGGGGGUCGUGGGAGAGAGGGGCUCUCUCUCUUCGCUCUCUCUGUUGCGCUGCUGUCUGUUGCUUCGCUUUUAAAUUAGGAACCCCUGUCAUGUAGGCCAGGCUUCCUGUCUGUCACAUCAUAUCUCUCUGGGAGAAGAUUUAAAUUUCAAAGAUUUAAAUUUCAAGUAAAAAAGAUGGAUAUAAAUUUGAUUGGAAUUAGUCACUCGGCGGCGACGCGGAUAUGUUCGGUCUCGGCCUUUUGAAUUCCGAGCCGAAAGCUCAGAGGGUCCUGGCGGCGCAUCCCCGAGUGCCGUCGCCGCCGAAGCGACGCGAGGACGCUAGCGCCAACUCGCCAAGCCCCCGCCGCUCCGUCCAAGCGCCGCCGUCCAUCAGCCUUCCCAACCGGCGCCGCUGCCCCUACGCCUUCCCGUCCGGCACCGCUGCCCCUACGCCUCUCCACCUCCUCGGACCUGCAACGGCGCCUCCGGCCUCCGCCUCGGCUGCCACUUCCGCAUCCACCACGGCGUCGGCACCUCGUCUUCCUCGGCUGGCAUAUGUGAGUCCUCCUCCUCCCCCUCCCCCUCCCCCCUCCCCCUCUCCUACUGCCUAGGGUUUUUACUCAUCUUUCCUGAUUCAUAGUUCUUGUAGAUCGUGUUGAGUUCAAGGCUUUCAGCUCCACAGCUUCAAGAUCCACUCCUUGUGCAUCUCUUCACUGGAUAGUAAGCCUUCCAUUCUUUUGAUUGCCAAGGACGAAUUGCUUGUUCCGAGUUGUAUCAUGCUUGCUGUAAAAUGUCGAUUCCCAUGUUCAUGUGUGAUGCAUAUAAUCUGUUGCAAAAUUGUUAAAAGACAAUAUUGCAACAUGUGAAAUUUUGCAUAUUUGAACAAACAAAGAAAAUGAAAGAAUUGGUUUCAGCCAAGGGAGGUAGCAACUAGCAAGUAGAAAAACUUAGUAGAAAUCUCACGUUGUUGACAUAGUAUCUCAAUAUCAGUAGAUGCUCCAACUCAGGUCUACAAUCUGCAUUGUUUUUGUUCUUACCAAUAGAUGCUCCAACUCAGGUCGUUGACACAAUAUCUCAAUAUCACGCAGCUUCGAGAAGUAGAGAUCUCUUUCUUUCUCCAUGCUGUCCACAGAAACUUUCAGGUCUGCAAUGUUCAAUUCAACGAAGGAAGUAGAGAUAUCAACAACUACAAUUAAUUCAACAUCACUACUGUUGUUUUGAAGUACUAGUUCAUGUGAUGACUCGAUUAAAGGUCACAUCUGUCAGUAUAAAGAGAUCAAGUACUGUAUCUAGCUGCAUGCUUGUUGACUGUAUUGCACAUGCUGCAGCACUAAACAACUACUGUUUGAAUCAUGCUGCCAAUCUGAAAUAACUACCGCUCCUGUGCUAAUAUGCUAAUCUGAAAUAACUACUGCUCCUGUGAAAUAACUAUUUUCCUUGCAUGGUUUACUGAAGACGGAAGUAUCAGGGUAGCUGAUUUCUUCUGUGCUUGAAUCAUGCUGCCAAUCUGAAAUAACUAUUGCUCAUGACAAGGUAGCAAUGGGAAUAACUAAAUGCAAUAUGUUUCUUGCAGUGAUGGUGAUAUUCUUAAACUAGCGGUCACAUUACUCAUAGUAGGUAAUUAAAAGUGCAGUACUCAUGCGGCAACAGUUGAGUUAAAAGCAUAGUUUUAUACAAUAAUUUUAAUGGCUCCUUUGUAGUGCGAUCACUCUAUUGAUCUCAUCAGUUGACAAACAUAUAUAGUUCACCCAGUACCAAUGCGUUAGCAUGUAUUACUAUUUCAAUUUAAGGUAACUGACUGUUCUGUAAAUAGGCCAAACUACACUCUGAUUAGUUCAUUAAUGAUAGAUCAUUUGGCUUUCAAAUCUGACAGAUCGGCAGUAACAAGAACUAGAAAUCUGAUAGAUAUUGGCAGAGAAACACUUCUAGGUUGCAUGUGACUUUGAUUUAAAUUUCACUUUCAUCUCAUGUGACAUAGUUUACUUGCCUUACCAUAUACAUACAUAUAGAUAAUGGAAUCUUGGGAGGAUGAAGUUAGGAGAUUCAUGCUAGAGGAGGAAGAAGAGGAUGACGAGCUAUUCCUAGUUAUGGUCCCCAUGCUUCAGCAGUGUCUAUAUGAGGAGAAAAUCCCGUCGUAUUCCCGAGGCUGGAAGCCCGCGCGGAGAACUGGUCAUGGGCGAAGUUACCCCAUCAUUUGGGAGAACACAAGAUGGGGGCACCUGACCCGAUCCGCGAGUUUUCCGCGUGCCAAGCCCUCCCCACCUCGAUGGUCUGGCCGCCUCUUCCCCGCGGCUCCCCGAGCGACGCAGCGCCGUCGCCCGUGCGGCUCCCCCUCUCUGCGCCUCGCCAUCGCCUCCCCGUCCUCGCCGUCGCCUCCCCGUCACCUCUCCAUCCCUGCACCGGCUCGAUCUCCACCACUGCUCCGUGACUGCCCCGCCUUGCCUCGUCCCAAGAUCCGGUGAGCCCUUCCUCUCUCCUCCUUGUCCUCCCCAGAUCGAGCUCCUGCUACUUGGAUCGAGCCCUUCCUCUCUCCGUGACUGCUUGUGCUUUUUUUAUAGAUAGAUGUGUGUUAGAUGUUUUUAAGUUCUUCCUUCGGUUCAUCUUAUUUCUAGAUCCCUAGAACUGGUAAUGCUUUCGUCUUAGGCGCUAACUAGUUCAUUACGGUUUACUCUUAGCGACAGCUACAGAUUAUAGAGAUGCAUCACUGUAAAAAAUGGAAUCCUGUACUAAUGUCUGCACCCUUUGGAAAGCUUUGACUUUGUUCUAGUUAUUUAGCUUCAAUGCUUAAUUGCUUGUCAUUCUUCCUGGAAUGAAAAAUAUCAUGCUAUUGUCUCUUAUAAAUCUUGAUGAGGUUCAUCAGUGUUUUGGAUGAGGUUCUUGCUAGCCUGAUGAGAGAAAAAAAUCCUGAUGUUACACAUACACAUGACUGGUAGAAUAGACAUUGCACUGCAAUGUUCUUAUUGAAAUCUGGAAGUUAGGUUUGGAUUGUUCUUGUUAUUUAUGUUCAGUGCAUAAUUGCUUGUCAUUCUUGCUGUAAGGGGAAAAAAAUCUUGUUGUUUCUCUCUUGUAAAAGUACUAGAUUUGGAUGAGGUUCCAAUCCAUUACUAGCUGUUCUUGCCAACCAGAUAAAAAAUAAAGCCAUCUGUAAUGUUUUAGAAAUGUGUAAUGUUUUAAGGUUCAGUACAUUUUUUUUUGUGUUCUCAUUUCCUUCCACUCAUUCUUGGUAGAUAAACUGUAGACAUUUGUUGUGGCGUAUUAUUAGAUAUUCAGGUCUUUUGAUGCAGUGCAGAAUAAAAAAAAUAUGAUUACUGAAUAAAACUACAAAUGCAAGGUUGCUGAUCUUUGUUCUUGAAACUAAUUUCAUGCUUAUGGAACCUAUGAGUUUUAUGUCAUUGUUUCUGUGUUAUUCUGUGACUUUCAACAUCCAAGAUGUGUUUAAUACUGGCGAUUCCGUCCCUAAGAAAGAAGAUCAACAUGAUUAAUGGAAAACAACCACUACUUGGAGCACAACCUUAUCUGAACCAUUCUUGUUGGCGCAGUUCUUCGUUUUGUUUGUUGUGUGCGGUGUGCUUCCUCAAAUCAAGCCUUACUCAUGUGCUGUCUGAUUUUUUUUUCCUUAAGGCUGCUAUAAUUUAUCAAAUCUGGUUAAAAGAUGUAGAAGCACUGCAGUUUAAUAAAUCUGAUCUCAACUGUUAAGUAACGAAGACCAGAGAUUUCUGUAUCUCUGAAAUUACAAUGUCUUAUUGUUCUCUCUGAUAUCCUUCAACUUACAAUUUUUAAUUGGAUUAUAUCCGUUAGCAUUUGCUCAACAUGGUUGAACGCCUUUUGAGUGCAUUAAAUCCAUGGUUAUCAAUACUAUGUGGAAAUAUGGAAUAUUGCUGCCUUUCUCAGAGGAGAUCCAAGAAUAAAGCUAUUUCUUUUGCAACAUUAGAUGUAGCUAAGCCUCCAUAUAAUAAUGAAUCCUGAACCUAUGAUCUAUUUGGCUUGAAUCAGCCUGUAGACCUAUGAUCUGUUUGCCAUAUUAAGUCACUGUUCUUCUGAUGUCAAAAUGCUAUUCUGAACCUAUGAUCUGUUUGCCAUCUUUUUGAUCCUGAACCAAAAUGCUAGCUUAUAUCAUAUAUUCUUGCAAGUAUUCCAGUUUUCAUAACCUGAGCUUUUUCCUUUUCUUAUCUAGACCAUAUGCAUUUGAGUGACAUAGUUUACUUGCCUUACCAUAUACAUACAUAUAGAUAAUGGAAUCUUGGGAGGAUGAAGUUAGGAGAUUCAUGCUAGAGGAGGAAGAAGAGGAUGACUAUUCCUAGUUAUGGUCCCCGCGCUUCAGCAGUGUCUAUAUGAGGAGAAAAUCCUUAGGAUUGAGCGAGAGUAGACUCAAGUCACUCUGAUCGAACUAGUUAGAAAUGUCACUGAUGCUGGAGUUAUGCGCAGAACUAGCGUUGAUCAUGCAAAACAACAACCACCGAACGAAUCAUGGUUUGGUUAUUUAUUUUAAUCUUUAUUUUUGAACCAAGAGGGAAGCAAACCAAAUAAUCAAACUUAUUCUGUUAUAAAAGGGCACAAUAUGGUCUGAAUCUGGUCUUGAUCGGUUAUUGUCUUUCAUGAUGUUAAAUCCCAAUUCAGUAGUUAUCCAGAUGCAAAAUAUAUUAUGUGAUAGUAGCAUACUGCAAACUGACCACAACUCUAUGGCCUUAAUGGAGCUCUUGUGCAUUCAUAUUAUUGAUAUUUUCCUUACCGCUUCUGCCCAAUUUGAAGCACAGUGUGUAUGAUACUUCUUUCUAAGUAAGUUCUCUUUGUUUGAUGAUACAGUGAUGCCACGACUUCUCUUUUGAGGAUUUAAUGUGCACAGUGAUAUUCUGCUAGCGUUAUGCUCUUCAACUUACCGGAAGCCGCAAAACGAAUUGGAGUAAAGUUCCUAUCAGUUGCAAGUGCAGAAUGCUUUGGUCGAGAUAUCUCCCCGAUGCAUUUUGCAUCCCUGUUAAAGGAAUGCAGGUCUGUGAAUAUAGUUCGUCAAAUUCACCAGAAGAUAAUUGCUUUGGAUCUUCUUUCUUGUCCAGCGUCAUUGCUGUCAGUGUCACUUCCACCACUUCCAUCACAUUCAUAUAUAUUACCAAAAUCUUUGGGUACUGGUGUUGUAGCUUCUUAUCUUGCUUUUGGUGCUACAAGCGAUGCUCUCUCAGUGUUGGAGCGUGUCACACCAUCACCAGCCGUAUGGUGGAAUCUACUCAUACGAGAACACAUCAAGGAAGGCCGCCUUGACAGGGCAAUUGGUGUAUCUUGCCGCAUGCUGCAUGCUGGAACUAGGCCAGACCAUUUUACUCUGCCGUAUACGCUAAAAGCAUGUGGAGAGCUGCCUUCAUACCGUUGUGGUAGCACAUUCCAUGGACUCAUAUGUUGCAAUGGAUUUGAGUCAAAUGUCUUUGUAUGCAAUGCAUUGGUGGCAAUGUAUGCACGCUGUGGUUCUUUGGAUGAUGCCAGUCUGGUGUUUGAUGAAAUGACUUGGAGGGGAAUUGAUGAUGUUAUCUCAUGGAAUUCAAUUGUUGCUGCCCAUGUUAAGAGUAAUCAUCCAUGGACUGCAUUAGACCUGUUUUCAAAGAUGGCAUUGAUUGUCCAUGAAAAAGCUACAAAUGAAAGGUCAGAUAUCAUUAGCAUUGUCAACGUUCUUCCUGCAUGUGCUUCUCUAAAGGCAUUGCCUCAAACUAAAGAAAUUCACGGCUAUGCCAUUCGGAAUGGCACAUUUCCAGAUGCUUUUGUAUGCAAUGCCCUGAUUGAUACCUAUGCAAAGUGCGGGUCAUUGGAGGAUGCAGUAAAGGUUUUCAAUGCAACGGAACUCAAAGAUGUGGUUUCUUGGAAUGCAAUGGUUACUGGGUACUGCCAAAGUGGGGAUUUUGAGGCAGCCUUUGAGCUUUUCAAGAAUAUGCGCAAAGAAAAUAUCCCACUAGACGUGAUAACAUGGAGUGCUGUAAUUUCAGGGUAUGCUCAGAGGGGAUGUGGCCAAGAGGCCCUUGAUGCUCUCCGGCAAAUGUUUCUUUAUGGAUCAGAGCCAAAUUCUGUCACAAUCAUCUCUGUGUUGUCUGCCUGUGCUUCCUUGGGAGCAUUGUCUCAGGGUAUGGAAACCCAUGCGUACUCUCUGAAGAAAUGCCAUCUACUCUUGGAUAAUCAUUUUGGUGGUGAUGGGGAUGGUGAGGAUCUAAUGGUGCACAAUGCGUUAAUAGAUAUGUACUCAAAGUGCAGAUGCUUGAAAGCUGCACGUUCCAUAUUUGAUUGCAUACCUCGAAAGGAACGCAAUGUGGUAACUUGGACUGUCAUGAUUGGUGGGUAUGCGCAAUAUGGGGACUCAAAUGAUGCCCUCAAGCUUUUCUCGGAGAUGAUUUCAAAACCUUAUGCAGUUUCUCCAAAUGCUUAUACAAUUUCCUGCAUUUUGAUGGCCUGUGCACAUUUGUCUGCUCUUCGUGUGGGUAAGCAGAUCCAUGCUUAUGUCACCCGCCACCAUCACUACGAAGCAUCUGUGUACUUCGUGGCAAACUGCCUUAUUGAUAUGUACUCAAAAUGUGGUGAUGUCAAUACUGCUCGAAAUGUAUUUGAUAGCAUGCCUAAAAGGAAUGAAGUAUCUUGGACUUCAAUGAUGUCAGGAUAUGGAAUGCAUGGUCGUGGUAAUGAGGUCCUGGACAUAUUUGACAAAAUGCAAAAGGCAGGCUUUGCUCCUGAUGACAUUUCCUUCCUGGUUCUUCUUUACGCUUGCAGCCAUUCAGGCAUGGUUGAUAAGGGCCUGGAUUACUUUGAUAGCAUGCGUAGAGAUUAUGGUGUAGUUGCCAGCGCAGAGCAUUAUGCUUGUGUUAUUGACUUGCUGGCUCGCUCUGGGCGAUUAGAUAAGGCAUGGAAAAUAGUUCAGGAAAUGCCAAUGGAGCCUACUGCAGUAAUCUGGGUCGCAUUACUUAGUGCCUGCAGAGUACAUUCAAAUGUGGAACUUGCUGAAUAUGCUCUGAACAAACUGGUUGAUAUGAAAGCAGAGAACGAUGGAUCCUACACGCUGAUAUCCAACAUAUAUGCCACUGCAAGGCGGUGGAAAGAUGUAGCAAGAAUCAGACUGCUGAUGAAGAAAUCAGGGAUUAAGAAGAGGCCAGGAUGUAGCUGGGUCCAGGGUAAGAAAGGCACCGCAUCUUUCUUUGUUGGAGAUCGUUCACACCCUCUAUCUCCAGAGAUAUAUGCUCUUUUAGAGAGACUAAUCAAUCGCAUCAAGGCUAUGGGUUAUGUCCCUGAGACAAACUUCGCACUGCACGAUGUCGAUGAUGAGGAGAAAAAUAACCUUCUUACUGAACACAGUGAGAAGCUUGCCCUCGCAUAUGGCCUCCUCACGACUUCCCCUGGUUGUCCCAUACGGAUCACAAAGAACCUGCGUGUCUGUGGCGAUUGUCACAUUGCAUUCACUUACAUAUCAAAGAUUGUUGACCAUGAGAUCAUAGUGCGAGACUCCAGUCGCUUUCAUCAUUUCAAGAAGGGAUCUUGCUCCUGUGGUGGCUAUUGGUGACUUGAUGAUAUCUCUUCCUGUGAAAGGAAUGGGUGCGGAAGAAAUGCUAAUUAUUUCCCAUAGAAGAAAUACUAAUGUGAUGAUGAUUAUUCUCAAAAGGACUAAUAUGCUCAUGAUUUUGUCAUACUAAUUCAGCAUUCCAGAAAACAGUCACAGAAUUCUGGUUACCAUUGUUUUGAUCUGCUUCUGUGAGAUGUCACCUGCACUGGUAUUUAUGUUAUUUGUCCCUUUUUUUUCAUGCCUCGUGUUGAUUUGUUUUAAGCUGUGACUCUUACCGACAAUCUGCACAGUGCAGCUGCUAUUCUUUUUCCUGAAUAUGUGCCAAUGCGGUUAUAGUCUCAUUACGUACUCAUGUAGUACUCAUUUUGUUUUGUGUUUUGAUCUGUCAUGUUCCGACUUAGGUCUUGUUGAGUUAUUCAAUUGCAAGUAAUACGCUGCUCGAAAGUCUUUUGAAUGGAUAGCACAAGUAGCACAUGAUAAAUAUUGGCAACCUUUUAUUUUUCGUGUUACACCCAUUGAGAUCCUUGGGACUUAUUGUUGAUAUUAUAUUGGAUCAAUUUGCCGAGGAUGUUGAAGCAUAUUGGUAUCUGGCAAUUUUCUUUGUAGCAGGAAUGCUUAAUUGCUUGCCCAUCAGAACCAAUCAUAACAGGUUUAUUAAGACCAGGUUUCAUUUGUUGUAUUGGAAACUUGAUUUGAUUAGCUGAUGCUUUCCUUUCUUGAUUUCAGAUUACAGUUCUGCACUUCCGCUAGAGAAAUUAUUGCUCAGGGAUACAGAUGAAGAUCUGGGUGGGGCCGUGGUGGUCAUGUUGAUGACAUGACCAAACAGACAUAUCUGAAUGAACCUGUUCUUUGCAAUCUGAAGAAAAGAUAAUAAUUGAAUGAGAUAUGUGUUAGUGGUUUACCAUUACCGGCACUGUUUUAUUUACUAUGAUAAUUUGCAUUUGAACUUAAUUGAAAUGUAGGUGAAUUGCUUACCCCGAGACUAACUUUCUCUCUGCAAAUUUACGUACUUGAAUAAUUCCAGUCACAAUGUUUAAAUUUCCAUGUCAUAUUGAUUUAUAGAGCAGCUUUUGCUUAGCACAUUCUCAGACUGAUUUUAGAUGUCUUAAUCAUAAUCAGCUUUGGUAGAAUUUCUGCCAAAUCUGUUGGAAUCGAAUAAAAGCCAUCUACAAUUGAAAAUCUGAUCCAUUAAGGCAAAAUCAUUUGUCUUUGUGAACACAGUAAUGAUGCACUCAUCUAAUGGUUUUCAGCCUCAAUCAAUUCAUGAUAUAAUAAUUAUCCUUUUUCAGUUUAUAGAGCAGAAUGCUGAACAGUUGUAAACUUGAUAUGAUCUCUACUUAAAUAUGAAAAAAAAUCAAUGCCAUAUGUAAUAUCAGGACACUUUUCGUAUUGUUGUUUCUUUUACGCUCAUUACUUUCCAGUUUUGUAUUGUCAAGUACGGAUUGUGUUCCUGUACAAUGAGACAUGAUGGAGAAGGGUGUCAGAUUAGGGGAGUUGAGUCCAUGUGUUAUGCCGUAGCUGAUGCAUCGUACAGCUAGGGUUACAGUGUGAUUGAAUUGCAAGGCACUGCUAUACAAUUUAGUUAUUUUGUUGGCAUUGGCUGAAUUGAUUAGGGCUAUGGUGAAUGAAUCCUGAAGCCAAUCCUUGUUAGUGGUGAAAGUGGUGCGGGCAAAACUGAAAUGACAAAACUUUAUUAUGGAGUAUCUCACUUUUGUUAGUGGUAGAGCCGAACGGUUGAACAGCAGGUUCUAGAAGUAAGUUUUACCAUUGUUUGUCCACUAUAAUUUAUGGAAACUGGGAGUUCUUAAUCUGUUUUUUUGAUGAUUAUGCAUUUUCUGUUGCUACUGCUGAUGAUAAUGUAAUCUUUAUAUGUCUUAAUGUGCUCCCUCCAGUCGAACCCUCUUUUAGAGGCAUUUGGUCAAAUAUUGUGCCAAGGUUCGUGUGUGUUCAUCCAAAUAAUACAUAAUUUCUUCUUUAAUAUGUACAACCUAACCUUUUUGACCGCCUUUUCUUUUGCCAUAUUGUAACCUGAACGCUUUCUUGGUUGCAGCCAAUUCGGAAAACGCUUGGUUGCAGCUGAUUUGGAAAGUUCAUGGAGAUACAGUUUGAUGCAAGUGGUAGAAUAUUGGGCAAACGAUGGAUUGUAAGAACUAACCAUGGCACAUGAAUAUCGGGUUCCGGCUAAGUAGCCUCCCUUGCCAAUCUGCUCUUGUGCAACCUUAGGAUGCGCAACAAAUGGGUUCAGCAAACCACAGGCUAUCUUCUCUUUCUGUCCAUUCGCCACCACAACAUGUGUGAGAAAGUAUUUAAUUGAUGAUCAAAAUAGUUCUCCCAAUACAUUGUUUCAUUUUUGGGCAACAUAAGCAAGAAAGUAUUAUUGUUGGAAACAAUAAUCAGGUAUUUCCAUCUGGAUCUAGACGAAGCCUCUUUUUUCUCACUAUCCACUAUUUCUUUGACACCUCAUCAAAAUACUGACAUGACACCCUAUAAUGAAAAUGAAAACCCCAUUAUAUUGGCACUAGCCCUUAGGAUUCUUUUUCUCCUGUGAUGUAUCAUGUAUGCAUUCGUCCCAAGUAUAUUAAUUAGAAAUUUUUGCAAUAUCCCCCUUCUUCCCCUCAUUUUGAUUUCAUAUGGCUAUAUAUUUUAGCUUGUAACACACAUCGCAUGUUUGUAUCCAUUCGGUACCACAAAUAGCUGGAUACACAUGAAAUGCUUAUUUAGCAUGCAGGCAUGCUAAUAUUAUUGUGACUUGCCUUUAGGUGUAUGGUUUCUAUGAUGAGUGCCAGUGAAAGUAUGGGAAUGCCAAUGCAUGUCGGUACUGCACUGAUGUUUUUGAUUACCUUACGCUUUCAGCAAUCAUUAAUGGACAAGUACAUUCCUCUGGGCAAAGAAUUUGCAGAUUGUCAGUUCAUGUUGUUUGGGACAAGUCAUACUUAAAUUAUAUGCUGAAUUCAGGUCCUCUGUGUUCAUGGCGGUCUUUCUCCUGAUGUACGCACUAUUGAUCAGGUUCGUGACUUUUCUUCUGUAGCUUUCUUAUAGUUAUUAUACCCAUCGGUCAACAUAGAUGUUUAUAGCUUCCAUAUUUCCUGUCUUGUAGGUAUGCCAUACUUAGUGAAAAUAUGUGAAGUAGAAAUAUAUUUUACUUGGUCUAUGAAAGGAUGAAAUGAUUACAACUAUUUGAAAUUUCCAUUGUCACCAAUGAUGCAAAAUUAAUGUUUCAGUGCAUGUCUGCUAGAACUUUUGAAUGAGUGAACAGUUUAUAUAUAUUAUUUUCAGUGAUUUCUCUGUUCCUUUUUCAGCUGGUUGUGCUAACUCUUUUUAAAGAAAAUGUUUGCUAUAUAAUUUCCUUCAGUGGUAAGAACAGUUAUCAUCAAUGAACUGGUUGUGCUAAUUGUACAGUAAGAAUGGUUAUCAUCAAUGAACUGGAAAGUAACUGGCCCUUAGCAUUGCUGACUCAUUUUUGUGAAGAAUGGUUGAGUAUCUGAUUCUGGGGUUGAUUUGGCCCUUAGCAUUUCUGACUUGUUUUCUGAAGAAUAGUAGAGUACAUGAUUCUGUUGCUUUUUAUGAAUAAAUGUUUCGAUGAGAUUAAACAUUUGAUUAUCGUUAUCACUAGAUACGAACAAUUGAUCGCAAUUGUGAAAUUCCCCAUGAAGGUCCUUUCUGUGAUCUUAUGUGUAGUGACCCUGAAGAGAUAGAGACAUGGGCUGUUAGUCCCUGAGGUGCAGGUUGGCUGUUCGGAUCACGAGUCACAGCAGAGGUGUGCAUACAAUCUUUCUUGUUAUUUUAUUAUUCCGAAUCGCCCUUCUAUUCAGUCCUUGUAAAUGCCACUUCUUGCUAUGCAGUUCAACUUUGUUAACGGUAUCAAGCUAGUUUACCGAGCUCACGCUGGUGCAGGAAGGCUUAAAGUACAUGUUUCAGGAGAAGGGCCUUGUGACUGUGAGUUCUUAUUCCCACAUAGAUUGUCACUCGAGAUACUGGUAGCUGUUAGAUGUAUAUGUACUGUUGAUGAUUUACCUUUUGUAUUAGGGGGUUUUCUAUAUAUUUUCCCCUUCUUGUACCUGUAUAUAUAUGGGCCUAGAGCCCCUGUUAUGAAUACAAGUGCUAUUCCUAACAGUAGCAUCAUAUUAGUAGUUUGUAUUUUUUUUUAUUUCAGCAUGACUGAAUUAUUACAUUUGAAUUGUUUAUGAUGCUUUGUUUGUACUAUUUCUUUCCAGGUGUGGUCUGCACCUAAUUAUUGCUACAGAUGUGGCAAUGUAGCUUCCAUACUAAGCUUUGAUGAAAAGAUGAUAUGUUGUUUCGUUUAGAAGAGUUUGCUUGAAGUCUUCUGCAUACCUGAUUACUCUUGAGUAAAUUCAUACAAUAAGUUCAGCUCAAUCUUCAGCAUGUUUUAUUGUGCAUAUACACAAGCAGUUUUUGUACAUGUGAAUGGGCAACAGAAAAGCAACCGGUGUUUCUGGCCAAUAUUUUUAGAUAUUUACUUAGUGAAGUGGUUAUACAAGUGAAUGUUACGUACAUCUAGGUGGGGUCUCCCCUUUGUUCUGCAACUCACCAAGUUUUUGUUAAGACAUUUUCUAUGCUUGCUAGUGAUAGCUGAUAGGCAGGGGCUGGAAAAUAAGGAAUAAAUCAUAGUCUUUUGAAUAGGGGCAGGGUUUCAGUUGGACCGUCAAUGAAAUAAGCAAAUUGUUGUCUUUCUGCAUCAACCAUGCUUUUUUGGGGAAUCAAGCAGACUUUGUGGUUUAGUGGUUCAUCAGCAACAGUUAUGCAUGUGGGUUUGUCUUGGCUGAGGAAGAGGGGUCCAAGUUGCCAUGAAAAGGCAAAGUCUGCUCGCUUUUGUCAAUAAGUACCAGCAGACCUCUGAUUCUUUUUCGCAUUAACAUCUGAUUGCUCCUAGUUUUGCAUCACCAAUUGUCGUGUAUCUUGUUUACGACUGCAUGGUGGUUGGCAUGUUAUGCUCCACUGCGCUUUGCUUAACUUAAACCAAAGUGUAAUGAGAUGUAGCUGAUGCUGAUCAAUGCUGUAUACUUUUCUGUUGCCAGGAAAGAGACGUCAAGUUCUUCACGGAGACAGAGGAGAACAACCAGAUGCGAGGCCCAAGGACCGCAGUCCCAUAUUUCCUCUGACUUCAAUUGUGCAAUUUUAGAAGUCAAAUGUUUAAAUCUGUAAGGGCUAAAAGAUCAACCAGAGGUGUUUGUUGUUGUAGGUUCAGAUCAUAGUGCAAUAUGAUGCAUUUGAUUUCUCCAUUUUCUUUUAACCACAUGUACAAUAGACCAUCGGGAGUCAUAUGUUACUGUAUCCCUUCAAGUGACACCGUCAAGUAUUGUUCUUGAUUUAUUUCACGUGCUAUUUAUCAUCGUGGACCGCGCAUGCGUUGGGCAACAGAAAAGUUUCUGCUGCCUGUUUAUUUUAUUUCUGAUGUGAUAUUUUCCUUUUAGUUUGCACUCGCCUAGUAAGAUAUUUUUCUUGUAAACAUCUCGUUUACGCACUUCCUGGCAUAUAUCUUUGGGGCAUGUUUGUGACUGUUUCACUAGAAAAACAGCUCUAUUUUACCAACUCCAUUCUUUUUUUUAGCUUCGCUCCAUCAACUUCAGAAAAAUAGGAAGCUAUGAAUAUGUUUGGCUAAUGGUGUAAACUCCAUCUCCAGAAAUUAUAGGAAUGCGUGCGAAUAAUUUGUAUUACCCUUGGUUGGGGUUGGGAUAUUUUUUCGCGAGCUACAGUACCCGACUGCUACUGUGACAGAUUGAUGAGUUUUUGCACUGAUGUUAACAUAUUUUUUAUGCCAGCUUAAAUGACAUCAGAGCGGAGUAUAUCAUUCCACCAAAUGUUAAAUUGGAACUGAUUUGACCACAUGUAAAUUAGAAUAAACAAAUGAACGCAGAUUGCGAGAUACAAAGUCAAAUGUUUCAAUCAUUUUUGCAGAACCAGGAUGCACAUAUUCCAACUAGCUAGACCAGUGUUGAACAAACAACUGCUUAACGAGAUCAAGCUAAUCUCAGUCAUCCUACACCUAACCUGACCUGGAUUGUGCUUGUGCUGCUUCCUGACAUCAAAGGAAGAAGUCUUGGAGACACCCAUCUUGCCACCUACAUAUAAUCAUUCUGAUCAAUGGUGGGGAAGAACCACAAGAGUCACCGGUGAUUAACUGGUCCGGCCGCUGCGGCAUCGUCUUCCUCAUCACCAAUUGAUCAGCAUCCAGUCCAGCUUCGAGCCUCAAUUCCGUCCAGAACCAAGGUUACUCACCUCCACCACCUCAAGACCAUGUGCAGGAUCGUCGACCUCCACAGCUGGCGCACCACCAGAACCAUGCCAGGCGAGUGGCCUGCGGCGGCCGACGCCGGCACGACCGCGGAGCACACACGGCCCAACAGCAACACAUUGUCACCGAGGCCACUCGCGGGCAUGCGCACCCACCGCCUCGCGUCCCAGUUGAGCCUGUAGAGCCCGAGGUGCUUGUGGUGAUUGUCCGAGACCAUGAGGAGGACGCGACCGAGCGACUCGACAAAGUAGUGGUGCCACCUGAUCUCCCCUUGCAGGAGCGUAAAAACCGUGUCCCUACCCUCGACCCUAGGCUCCGCGACGGCAAGUUCCACGCGCAGAAGCUUCCUUCGGUCGUCCAUGAGAUACACCGUGGUGCGGACAAAUAUGAGGUCCUUGAAAUCCUCCACGAAAUCCACUCGGGUUCAUGCGGGCACCGUGCCACCGCGAGCAAUCUGCUAUCGCCGACGCAAAAGAGCUCAUCCAGAGGUGUAAAGGGUGCUAAUUUUUCUCCAAGCAGCAGCACCUCCCAGCACAGGCCCUGCGCACCAUCCCACCAUCCUAGCCCUUCACAUGCUGGGGGCUGGAUAUGGUUGGCCCUUUAAAGACCGCUCUGGGUAGAUACACCAAUAUCUUCAUCUUCGUGGCAGUUGACAAAUUCACCAAGUGGACUGAAGUCAAGACUGUCAGCAGCAUAGAGUCGGCCAAAGCCGCUCAAUUCGUCGAAGAGCUUAGACACUGCUUCGGGGUCCCCAAUAGGGUCAUCACUAAACUAGGCAAACAAUUCACAGGAUCCGAGUUUUGGAAUUUUUGCCAGAAUAACCUCAUCGAUGUAUAAUACUGCUCAGUAUCUCACCCACGAUGCAAUAGCUAGGUCGAACGUGUGAAUGGGAUGGUCCUCCAAUCCCUCAAUUCUCGCAUCUUUGAUGAUGCAUCCUAGUACGCCACCAAAUGGCUCCGCGAGUUACUCCACAUCAUUUGGUGCCUUCGCACCCAAAAGAGUCGGGCCACCGGCUACACCCUAUUCUUCCUCGUCUACGGCUCAGAGGCUAUACUGCCAACAAAUGUAGCCUUUGGUGCCCUGUGGAUUCAAUACUACAAGGAAGGGGAAGCAGGAAAGAGUCGGCAAGUCGACAUUGACAGCCUGGAAGAGCAUCGUGUGGCGGCCCUCAUCCAGCAUGCACAACACGAGCAAUAGAUUCAUCACUAUCAUGAUAGGAGCGUCCAGGAAUGCUCGUUCAACGUCGGCGACCUAGUGCUCCACCAGAUCCAGUCCACCAAGGAUAUGCACAAGUUGUCGGCCCCAUGGGAGGGGGCCUUCAUCGUUAAAGAAGUCAUCCAGCCCGGCACUUACCGGCUGCAGUUGGCGGAUGGCUCAGGUGUCCCUAACCCGUGGAACAUUCAACACUUGUGAUGCUUCUACCCUUAGAACAUUUAAGCUAUGUACUCUUCGUACCUUUUACAUUAAAUAAAUAAAACCUCAGAGGUUCUUUGCAUACCUACUACCUUCUUGCUUUUUUAUCCGAGCUCUUACUCAUGCUCAAGGGGUUGUCCGACCUAAUCAACAGACCACUCCCUCACCUUUAUGCUCGGGGGCUUCCCCCGCUACGUGUCGACCUCCGAGUCCCAACUUUUCUCCUACCCCCCUCAAGGUUGUGCGACUAACUUGUGUGGACAGCAUCCUAGCAUGCGAAACCUAGACAACCUUGCGCUCGCCCCCUCUACAAGCUUGAGAUCCGCUCUCAGCAGAGUGCUGGCCAGGCAAGGCUAGGCACUUAGUGGGUACAGACCUAGGCCACACGGUGUCCUGUCAAACACACGAAGGGAGGGAAGAAGUUUUGUCUUUACAUAAGUUAAUCAACAUGUUUACUUGUCUCAUGACACAGAUUGAUAUACAUCUUAGUUUUUCUAUUACAGGUCCAACUCCUUGACUACCUCCUCCACAGCUUGUUAAUACUGGUCGGUCAACUUCGGAAGGCUAUCAGGAUCAAAGCCUUUGGCUACCUCCGCUCUGAUGCGCUCCACCGCCACUCGAGGGAAAUACGUCUUGAGAAGUACAAUGAUGUUCUUCGCGCACUCCACGGCGGUCUCCUUCAUCAGUGCUUUCAGCCAACCAGGAGCACUCCUCAGUCGGUCCAGCAGUGGCGUUGGCUCGGCAGGAUUGGCCUUGGGCUGGACCAUGUCCAUUACGUAGCCUGCGGUCGACCGCAGAUCUUCAAGCUCCACCUCCAAACCUGCAAUGACCACCUGUUCAUGCUGGAGACUGUGCAUCAUGGAAACCAAGCACCGGUCCAUAUCCUUGCGCAAGCUAGCCUCAUAGGCAAGUUUCUGCGACACAGCAUACUUACGGUGCACGGCGACGUUGUAGUCUUGCUGUAGUCGGGCGUUGGCGGCCUCGCACUCUUUGAGGUCUCUCUUGAGCCUCUCCUCUUUCUUUUGGGCAUCUGCAAAAUAACAUAACUCAGGAAAAGAUACCAGCCUCAUCUACCCAAGAUAGAUCCUCUAUAAGGGAUGAAGCUGUACCAGUCCGCAAAGCGCCAAGGUUGUCCUAGACCUCCUUGGUGAUCUUCUUAUGCUCCUCCAGCUCCCGAGCCUUACAUCAGAGCUGCUCCACAGCAUCCUCCUUGACCCCAUUGAGCUCGGCCUCUAGGUGCUCGACCUUGAGGCGAUACUCCUUGGCACGGUAGAUGGCGUCCGCCCUCUUGUGCACGCGCUCGGCCAGAUCCUAUACAAAAGUUACUCCAACAUUUCAAAGAUGGAAGACAGGGACGAAAGCCAGCAUCAAGUUAGGUUGGCCAACUUACGUAUAAAACCUCCCCGACCUUGGCCGAGGCUUCCUUCAGGACAGCAAGGUCUUUCUUGUCUUUUGCCACAUCCCGUGCCAGGUCUGUCCCAGAAAAGUCCAGCGUGGUGCUAUCAUCAUCUGCGUGGGCAUCGACGUCAGCAUCGUAGCCUGCCGCCUCGGUGUCAACCGGCGCCUCCCUAGGGGUCUCCUCCAUCUGCUCCGUGGCGCUGGCAUCCGUGGCCCUAGGCGUGGAGACAGCGGUGUCCCUUGCAGUAUCUAGGCGUGACGGAGACUUUUGUUCAAGCCUCUCCAGCUCUACCACCAGGUCGCCGGCGUGUCCGGUCUGGGUAGACGAAGCAGACGCAGCCCCCAAGUCCGCACCAAGAACAUGACCUCUCACCUAGGUCCCAGCGCCAUCCUCCUGCAGGCUUACCUCAUCCUCCGUCACCGCUUCCCUGCACGGUCAGCAUAGAACAGAUAAAGGGUGAAGCAGCCUACAAACAAACUUUCAACAAUAAGUGAUGCCACGACUACACUCAUAGUGUGCUCUUCUUCGCUCGGAACUUUGGGCAAAGAGGCACUGGCGGCGGCAGGGUCGGCCCCUUCCGCUUUCCCCCACGGAUCUCCAUCUUCAGCCGCUCCUUAAGCUUCUCCCCAUCGGCAGUGAUUAUCUCAAGGAGCUCAGCCUUCUUCUUCACAGGUGGUCUAGGUGACUCGGAGUCGUCACUCACUACUCCGGACGAGGCCUCUGUGGGAGAGGUAGUUGCCUCAGCUAACACCUGACUCUUGGUGGCCCCUAUUUUCUUCCUCUUCCCCUUUUCCGCCUCUGGCACCUUGGGUUCCACCACCUUGAGAAUAGCCUGGCACGUCCGCCGCCCAACAGGAGCGGCACUCCUAGCCUCCAUCUCGUUGCCUUGGACUAGCACAUCCUCAUCGAAGACGUCGAAGGAUGAGUCCGACUCCUAGUCCAGGGCAACAGGUGGCUGCUCAACGUCAGUGAUGGGGCGGAUCUUAGGCCGUUGUGGGUCGGCCCCUCCAGGAAGCGGUGCCGGAUAAAAAAAACUCAAAUUCACAGCUCUGGUCAAUCAAGAGGAACAGUUAGAGAGGACGCAAACUCAAAGCAGCAAAGCCGACUGAUGAAACUAAGAUCUUACCGGGUCGGUCGGCCUCACGAGGGAGUACGCCUUAGGGCAGUGCUUGUUCUUGAUGACGCCACCAAAGAACUCGCAGACCCGACCGGCAACCUCUUCUCGAGUAACUUUUCGCUGUACUUCCCAGGUUGGAUCUAGUGGACCCGAGUACUCAUACGUCGUAUGGACCCUGUCCUUGAUCGACUGUGUUAGCCUUCGGGAGAAAUUGAUGCUCACAGCUCCUGUUGUGAGCCCACGUCUCUUCAAGUCGGCGAUCUCCUUCAGCAGUUGGUUGACUUGGACCAUCUCCUUAGAGGUUGGCUGGUUCGACCAUUCUAACCUUGUCACGGGUACAUACCCGAGGCGGGGUGGCAGCUCGGGCUUCUGAUUGUCUAUAAGGAACCAUUCCUUGUGCCACCCUUUGUUCGAGUCCUUGAGCUUCGGAUCAAAAUAUUCCAGGACCCUCUUUGGCUACAACGAAAACCCACAACCACCAAUCAAUCUCGGCUUCCCCUUGGUCGACACAAUUUUCAAUUGGUAAAGAUAUGUCCAUAAAUUGAAAUGGGGAGGAAUGCCGAGGAAAGCUACGCAAAUGUGGAUAAAAACCGCGAUGUCCAAAAUGGAGUUAGGGUUGAGAUGCACUAACUUGAUCUUGUAGUACUCUAGCAACCCGCGAAAGAAAUCCCCCAUCAGGAUCCCGAAUCCCCGCUCGAAGAAUGCCUCAAAGACAAUGGCUUCGGUCUUGUCCUCGGUGGGGAACUCCUGGCCCACGGUCGCCUUCCAUUCCAGGAGGGACUUGGGACCGAGCAGGCCGCGAUCGAAGAGGGCUUGGAUCCUCUCCUCUGUCAUCACGGAUUUCACCCAAUACGUGGAUGGAUCUGGUGCCUGCUCCGCUACCAUUUCUUCGAUUUCUACUCCUCGGGACACAGAUCUGAUGAAGGCGGGCCUCUUGGUUCGCAUGCGGCGGGGAAUGGCGGCACGACGGUGGGGACUGCAACCUUUGGGUGGAGGAGUGGUGGAUGCAAUUUGUGGAUGCGGCGGCGAUUGUGUUGGCGGCGGCGGCGCUUGGGCGCGAGUGGAGUGGAAAUGAAAAGAAAACCACGCCUCUUCGGCUUUUGAAGGCAUUGACGACGUAAAUCUAGCGAUGGAAUCCGUGGGUCCCUAUUACGGCGCAAGCAAUGGACGAAACCUGUGGGUUUUCCAUUAAGUCUCACGGCGUGCCUCCGUGGCUCCGCCAGUUGGGGCUGGGCACCUAUCUCAGGUCGGCGUGCCUCCACGGCUCUGUCAGUCCUCGUGCUCGGGGGCUGGAUGCCUAUUUCAGGUCGGAGUGCCUCCACAGCUCCACCAGUCCUCGCGCUCGGGGUCUGGGCGCCUAUCUCAGGCCGGCGUGCGUGGCUCCGCCAGCUGUCGUGCUUGGGAGCUGGGCACCUAUCUCAGGUCAGCGUGCCUCCGUGGCUCAGCCAGCCCUCGCGCUCAGGAGUCCUUGUGCUUAGGGGAUAGGCACUAUAUUUGGAUCCAUUUUACGAUGGAAACAAUACAUUAGAUUCUUGACCAUUGGACCGAUUACUUUAAUUGCUUCAAUGCUCGAGGGCUACUCCGUAUGAAGUGCGUCUUGCGACACCCUCCAUGUGCUUUCCUUCGAUCUACAGGAUGCUAGACAUCCUGGAGCUGGACAGUCGCAUAGCCAUGCGCAUUUGUCAUACGCCUGAGGAAGCUUCAAUUGUUCUUCCUUUUUUGAGCACUGUGCAGCCUCUCCAUCACUAUAACGACACCGCAACUUUAGCCGAGUACAUUAUAAGCUUCAUUAAUUGUUGCACAUUCGUCAGGUUCCUGUUGGACUCCACAUCGCUCGGGGACUUGAGAGAUAAGGGUACCCACGGGUCCCCACUGACUACGAUACUGGUCGGCCCUGACAGGUGGGCCCGCCUGACCAUGCCGUGCGGGCUAAGGCAUGAAGAUACAUGGAGCACAAGUCCGAAGGUCGGGCGAACGGAUUCUACCCAGAUAUCACGGGAUACUUGUUGUAAGCCUUCUCAUAUUGCUUUCCAUGUAACAACUGAUUAGGAUUAGAUCCUAUCCAAUUGUAACCCUAGGUCGUCAGCCUAUAUAAGGCGGCUAGGGGUGCUCCCCGAAGGCAACUCAACGCACCUCAACUCAUCCCACCUCACAUUAACUCUUCGCACAUGCGAUCAACAAUACAAUCCACUAGAACACAGGACGUAGGGUAUUACUCUCCACAGACCUGAACCUAUCUAAACCUUGCGUCUCUAUGUUAUCAUUAAGUUCUUGGUCUCACGAUCUCCCCCGUCUACAAAUUUACCACCUAGGUAACCUUGUCACUAAAUCUGACAGCUAUAGUGAAAAAGCUCGCUGCCAGCUAAAAUUUUAAUGAGGUGACCAUUUCCAUCGUGUAGAAUGUGGUUGAAGAAAAUAGAAUAAUUUUUUUUAAAAAAAAUUGGAACAACCUACGGAAUGGGAUCCAUUUUCGGCUCUCCCCUGCCGUCUCGGCUCCCUCCCCCGGCACCCUUCUCGGCUUUCUCAUCCUAUUUUCUCCAUAGUGACUUUGUCACUCAUGUUCUUUUGUUCGAGCUUCUUGGUAGUUUCUCAGCGUGAAAAGUCAGAAGCUCAAGAAAUUCUAGUGCAGCUCCCGAAAAGUUGGAAGUUCAGAAAAGCUGGAAAACUCAGUUUUAUAAGUUUUUUUAGCUUUUUAAACUUAAAAAAAUUAAAUACAUCAUUUAAAAGUUAGCGUUGGGUCUUGGGAAAAAAAACUAGCAAUAGCUUUUAAAAAAACUUAAAAAAUUGUGGGUCAAACAAACUGUCCGCACCCACUCAGCCGAGAAGCACCAAAAGGCUCGGUGGCCCUCCCGGCUCCAGCCGACCAGCCGGCCUCGCGUACACGGUACACCGCCGGCGACGAGCGAGACGGAUCGCGCAGCGGGGAUGAUCCAGGACAGUUUUUUUUUUUGCUAAAAAAACCCGGCAAAAUAGCGGACAAACGGCGAGACCUCACCCGCCCGCGCCCGUCCAUCCCACAUCGCACGGCCGCCCCGGCCCCGCGCGGCGCAGCCACGGAACGCGCGCCUCAGUCCACACACCCGCUUGCGCUUUCGGAUAGGCCCGGCAGGCGCGCGCCUCCGGCCCCGAGCGCGACCGGCGAAGAACACCCCCGCGCGGUGGCGUGCGAUCCGCGCGGUGGAAUCGAGGCCGAGAGGCGAGAGAAGGAAAAAAAAAAUCCCUUUCUUCCCCACUGCCACACCGCAUCGCGUCUCCGAUCAUCCGCCCCCCGCGGCGCCGGUUCCCCCGCCCUCCCCUCCUUCCUUGCGUGCCGCUGCCGCUUCCCCACUUCCUCAGCUCACCUCCCACUCACUCGAUUCCCCGAUCCCGGGCAGGCAGCGCCACGGCGGAACCACUAACCGCUGCCAAUUCUCUAUUCGAUUCCGCGCCAACUUUACAGCCACGCCGCGCGGCAGGUGGGAGGAGCCUAUAAUUGAAGAAGCAUCCAAUCAUCCACCCAACCGAUCGGGGGCAGGGGCGGAUUCGAGCGAUGGAGGCGUGCUGCUGCUCGUCCUCGUCGGCGCCGUCGGCGUCCAUCCUCGCCGCCGGCCCCGACCCGGUCCUCCGCCGCCGCUUCUUCGCGCCGGCGUCGGCACCGGGCGGGAGGGCGCCGUCGCGCCCGCUGCGCGCGUUCGCGGUCGCGCUGGCCGCGUCCCCGGUGCCGCGGCGGGGGCAGCAGCAGCGGCGGCGCGGGGCGGGCGUCGUCCGGGCGGUGUUCGAGCGGUUCACGGAGCGGGCGGUGAAGGCGGUGGUCUUCUCGCAGCGGGAGGCGCGCGGGAUGGGGGACGAGGCCGUCGCGCCGCACCACCUGCUGCUGGGCCUCGUCGCCGAGGAUCGCUCCCCCGCGGGGUUCCUCGGGUCGGGGAUCCGCGUCGAGCGCGCGCGCGAGGUGUGCCGCGACGCGCUGGGCAAGCCUGGGCCCGCGCAGGCCGCCACGGGGCUGGCAACGGACGUGCCGUUCUCGGCCGCCAGCAAGCGCGUCUUCGAGGCCGCGGUCGAGUUCUCCAGGAACAUGGCCUGCAACUUCAUCUCGCCGGAGCACAUUGCGCUCGGACUCUUCAACCUGGGCGAUCCCACCACCAACAGCGUCCUCAAGAGGUUGGUGGUGCUCUUCUGCUCUAUAAUAUCUGCUCCCAAAAAGAAACCGUGCUGUUUUUCAUCUUGUUAGAAAAUUAGCCCUCACGGCGACACAUCUCUUUUGGCCAAUGAUCCACAACCAUGUGACAUCUAUCAAUAACACGACAACCUCUUCAUCACGAACGAAAUAACCAUACGCCUCUUUUGGAGCGUUACAGAUGCACAUUGUCAGUUAGCCACAGCUGGAACCAAUCGGCUGAUAAGCUUUGUCGAUAAGGACCAAUAUUUGUAUCUAAAUUGCACUACAAAAAUAUGUCAUUCGAAAGUUCAGCAGGCUAGCAGCUGGAAAUGCAAGCAAAGUUUACAACUAGCAAUGUGCAUUCAUUUUAGCGAGAAAUAGAUAAAAGUUCAUUUUAGCGAAAAAAAUAGAUAAAAGUUCCCCAUUUGUUUUUUCAUUAUUGUGUGAUUUAUUGAUGCAUCUCGUUCGUUGUAGCUUAGGAGCAGAUCCAAGUCAGCUAACCAAGCAGGCAUUUGGCCGGGUCCAAGGGGAACUUGCCAAAGAUGGCAGGGAGCCUGUUGGGCUAUCUUCUUUCAAGUUACGUGAAAAAUCUGCCGCGGGAGCUGGCAAGACUGCAAUUGUCAAAUAUUCAAAUAAAAAGAAAGGUUAGAGGUUAAGCUACUUUAUUGGAGUUCAUGCCAAUAUUGUUGAUAAUAGAGCUCAUUGAAUAAAUGAACUUUUUCGUAUGUCAUUUCAGAGAAGAGUGCACUAGCUCAGUUUUGUGUGGAUUUGACCAUGCGAGCAAGUGGAGGAUUAAUUGAUCCUGUUAUUGGUCGCAAGGAGGAGAUCGAAAGAGUAGUUCAGAUUAUAUGCCGGAGAACAAAGAACAAUCCAAUUCUUUUGGGUGAAGCGGGUGUUGGUAAAACAGCGAUUGCUGAGGGUUUGGCUCUUAAAAUUGCUAAUGGAGAUGUCCCUAUUUUCCUUGUGGUAAGAUCCAGCGACCAGUGAUGGAUGCUCAGUCAUGUUGUAACAUAUUGUUAAGAACUGCAGUUAAUAGUUACCACUCAUUUACAUUGUUUUAUAGGGAAAGCGUAUAUUAUCACUGGAUGUUGCUCUACUUAUGGCUGGUGCAAAAGAGAGGGGCGAACUGGAAGCCAGGAUUACUAGUUUACUACGUGAAGUGCGCAAAGCAGGUCAUUUGACUCAUCCAUUAUAAAUUACUAGAUAUUGAAUUCUUUUUCCUAUACAGUCUUUAAAUAGCUCCCAAAUUUCAUGCAGGUGAUGUUAUGCUCUUUAUCGAUGAGGUUCAUACUCUUAUUGGAUCUGGAAUUGCUGGAAGAGGAAGCAAGGGAGCUGGCCUUGAUAUUGCCAAUUUGCUGAAGCCUGCACUUGCUAGAGGUGAAUUGCAGGUUCGAAUUACACAAACCUUGAUUAGUCUACGUUGACCUUCCUGCUUUGCACUUAAUACGUGACACUUCCCAAAUAGAUUGCUUUGAUGCCUGCGCUUCAUCAUUUUAUGUAUUGUCUGGUGUCUAGGCGUGUAGUUUGUCAUAUUGCUUGCCUAAGUUCUACCCAACAUUUAGUUAUGUCAUAUGAUUUAGUUACCUGCUUUCCAAACAGAUGGCAGUCUACCCCUCAUGCACUAUCUGUACAGUAGAGAACCAUAUACUUUCUCUUGUCCUGUGACCUGUUGAUUGCAUAUAUUAUUGGCAAUGAAGGUUUCUAUUCUUUUUUAGUAGAAUGCCACUGAGCAACUGUGAAGGAGAUUUGGUGGUUAGACUGAUGGUUCCUGUAUUCAUCUUGUUAUACUGUUUAGUGUAUACUUUGUCACUUGAGUGAGAUUCAAUCUUUAUGAAGAUGUGUAAAAUGUUUAUGAAUACCGAGCAGGUUGUUUUGUCAAUCCGUGACAGAAUAUUAAGUAUUAGAUACGCCAUUCAGCUGUGUGACUGACUUUGUUUUCUUCCCCUGUGGUUAUUCUUGUAUUUGCUCACAGUGCAUUGCAUCUACAACUCUGGAUGAACAUCGGUUGCAUUUUGAGAAGGAUAAGGCUCUAGCCCGCAGAUUCCAGCCAGUAUUUGUGAAUGAGCCUAGUCAGGUAGUUUGGAUUUUGCUUUCAGAAGUCACUUGGUAGGGUGGGUAUCUGUUUCUCUUAUUAAUCCUUUGUGACACCCCUACAGGAGGAUGCUGUGAAGAUAUUACUUGGUCUGCGUGAUAAAUAUGAAACGUAUCACAAAUGCAAAUACACUUUAGAAGGAAUCAAUGCAGCAGUUUACUUGUCAGCAAGAUACAUCCCUGACAGACAUCUUCCUGAUAAAGCUAUUGAUCUGAUUGAUGAAGCUGGUAGUAGAGCCCGAAUGGAGUCAUUUAAAAAGAAGAAGGAAGAACAGUGCUCUAUUCUCUCCAAGUCCCCAGAUGAAUACUGGCAGGAGAUUAGAGCUGUCCAGAGCAUGCAUGAAGUGGUAAUACAAUAUUCACAAUAGAGCAGUUGCAACUUGCAAACAUUCCAUACACUCGUGGAUUCUUAUAUUUCAUUGUAUACCACAUUUCAGGCACUGACUAACAGGUUGAAGUAUUCUCUAGAUGAGAAUGACACAGAUGACAAUGUUAAUACUGAAGUAAUAGAUGAGGACAAGAUUGCUUCACCAUUGACGCCUCCAACUUCAGUUGAUGAGUAAGUUCCAUCAUGUAGUCAUGUCACGCAGAGUAGGCUUAGCAUCCUGCAACUUAGAUCCAUAGAAUUUACAGUCACUCUUAACGUGCAGACCGAUUCUGGUUGAUUCGGAGGAAAUUGCAAGAGUCACAUCAUUAUGGUCAGGGAUACCGGUCCAGAAGUUGACUGCAGAUGAAACAAAACUUCUAGUGGGCCUAGAUGAUGAGCUUAGAAAGCGUGUCAUAGGUCAAGAUGAUGCUGUUGUGGCAAUAUCUAAAGCUGUGAAGAGGUCACGUGUUGGCCUUAAUGAUCCUGACAGGCCUAUUGCUACACUUCUAUUCUGUGGGCCAACCGGAGUUGGAAAAACCGAACUCACCAAAGCACUAGCAGCAAGUUAUUUUGGAUCUGUGGGUUAUGCUUUCCUUCUUACAUAUUCUAUUGUUAUUUACAGAGUUUAUGACAUGUUCCAUGGAAUUAUGUCUUGAGAAAGUUAUUUCUUUCAUUUAACAGGAGUCAGCUAUGGUUAGGUUGGAUAUGAGCGAGUAUAUGGAGAGGCAUACUGUGAGCAAGCUGAUAGGUUCUCCUCCAGGGUACAUGGGAUUUGGUGAAGGGGGUACUUUGACUGAAGCGGUUCGGAGAAAACCAUUCACUGUAGUAUUGCUUGAUGAAAUAGAGAAAGCUCAUCCAGAUAUUUUCAACAUUCUUCUCCAAGUAUUUGAGGAUGGACACCUGACCGAUUCACAAGUACUAGCUCCUGACAUUUACAUUGUUUUUUCGUGCCAGUUUUUUCAGAACUUGUUUACAAAUCAUGCACUUGGAGAGAUACUACCACUUAAUUAAAUGAUUGCUAUAGUUCUACCCUUACUAAUUUCAUUAGUGAAACGAAUUACUGAUUCAACUCUAUAGACAAAAAUGAACUUAUCUAAGUUGUUUCAUAAAAGCAAAUUCUUUCACUUAUGCCUUAUACUCUUUUUAGUCGCAUUUCAAUGUGCAUGCAUUAUUUAAUGUUUGUGUUGAUUACAGGGGCGUAGAGUUUCCUUCAAGAACACAUUGAUUGUCAUGACGUCAAAUGUUGGUUCUUCAUCAAUCUCGAGUGGAAGGAGGAGUAUAGGUUUCUCAACACAAAAAGAUACAGAGGAUACCACAUAUGCUUCGAUGAAAUCCCUCGUGAUGGAGGAGUUGAAGGCAUUUUUCCGGCCUGAAUUGCUCAAUAGAAUGGAUGAAGUGGUUGUGUUCCGUCCUCUUGAGAAAACUCAGGUCUGUUAUUUCUAUCCAUGUUACAUUCUUCUUUUACUUUGUGGUUUUAAACAUCGUAUCACUUAGUAAUGGAAACCAAGGAACAGAGUUGUACUUGAUAGCUAACUUGAUGCAAUGCUCUUGCACCUAGAAUAAUAUCAUGUGCAUCAGUUUUUAUCCCUAUCGCAUGUGGUUCAGCCAUGUGGGAGAUUGCAAAUGAGACAUUCACACUCUCUGACAUUCUGCAGAUGAUGGCUAUUCUCAAUAUAAUUCUGCAAGAAGUCAAGAGUAGGCUUCUAGCUCUUGGGAUUGGCCUAGAGAUAUCUGAUUCAAUGAAGAAUCUGAUUUCUCAGCAAGGAUAUGACAGAAGCUAUGGUGCACGGCCGCUGAGGAGGGCCGUCACCCAGCUAGUUGAGGAUGCGAUCAGUGAAGCAAUCCUCUUUGGACAGUUCAAACCUGGUGACACGAUAUUGAUGGACACUGACGCCACAGGAAAACCUUGCUUGAGCCGGUUGAAUGAUCAGACCGUCCAAUUGUCUGACCCUGCAACAACGCUGUGAACUUCACCAUCGUGUUGUAUACUAGUGGCUUACCCAUUAAUUCUUUCACAAAGUGGUAUGCCUCUUGAUUCUUCCGUACAUAGGAUCCACAGCUCUGUGUGUACAUAACCUUAAGAGUUGCUGGAAUCUCUCCUUGCAUAUAAUGUAAAUCUAAAUCUUAACCCAAUUGUACAUAAUUUCACCAUAGAAGGCAUACAUUGUUUAUGUUGGCUAGCAGGCCAGGUAGUCAGCAUUGCAUUUCAAUGUUGGUCAUCUCGAUGUUUUCCCCCGGUGCCGCCAGCCGUCUAUGUCCGUACAUUGAUUGGAGCGGCGUGUAAACUGACUGUACUAGCAUGCAAUACAGAAUCCAACUGACAUGCAGAAGUGGAAACAAAUGUCUGACUUGCUGUUUGUUUUUCAACUUGACACGCCCUAAAUUAAUUAUAUCUUCAUGGCUCAGCAUAACAUUUGAGAUACCAAAUUCUGCCAUUCCAAAUUUCCAAGAGAACAGAUUGAUUCGUAGAAAUUUCACUUCAAUACACAUCGAAGCAUGCGAAUUGAUCAUAGUCUGAUGACUACAAAACAUAUACUAGUAGUACAACCAAAUAUACUGCUGCCUAAAGCUCAUCCCCGAAAAGUUAAA